UUCAUACUCAGCGUUUCAUAUAGGUACCGUUUGGUUCGGAUAUAAGUAAGAACUAAUUAUUAUAGGGAUAGGUACAAGUAUGGAAAUAAGAAAAAUAGUGUUGGGAUAAAACUUGGAUUGUUUCCAGAAAUUAAAACAAUUUUAGAUAAUUUUAUAUAAAAAAUGAAGGUAUUGGUGGGGAUAAUCGAGAAUUACUAUUCUCGGAUAAAAAAAUAGCGUUUGAAUAUAAACAGGAGGAUAAUGAUCUAUUCCUAUUCUUAUUCCCUAACCAAACGCUGCAUAAGGUUUACCGAAGUGGCGCCGCAGUUGGAUGAGAGGAUAGCAAACGUUGCGACACUGUCACCUUGUCAACAGGGACAACACGGCGAGCCUAUUCUGCUUUUCGAAUUGAUGUAUAUAGCAUGCACAUUUCUAAUAAAAUAUUUGGGAUAUUCAAAACCAGUCUAUUUAUUUUGUUGCUGUUAACAGUACAAUAAUUGUUGCUAGGACCAAAAGCACGCGAAAACGCGAAAUUGAUUGUUGAUCCCGUUCACACCGAUUCGUUGCUGAGCUCGGUCAUGAACCGCUUGAUGAUCCGGACCAGCUCCCCGACCGGCUCGGACCACGGCUUUGUCGCGAAGAACCCGUGCUCCUGCCCCUGGAUUUCGACGAGCUCCACACGCUUCCCCAGCUCCCUCAUCUUCACCACGUACUCCACGUCCCGGUCCCUCAGGAUAUCUCGCUCGGCCGUCACCACGAGGAUCGGGCCGGUCUCGACCGGGCCCAGGCUCGGGCUCUCCGGUCCGAACGGGUUGAAAAUCGGGUGGUUCUUCGUCGCGCCGCGCGGCAGUGCGAGCCGGGUGUACCGGUCGAAUAGCUCCAGGUUGAGGAACGCGUCGGCCGGGCACUCUAGCUCCGACCGGGUCCGGUCGGCCCCGCCGAAGGCGGGCAUUAGGAGAAUGAACCCGCGGAUCCGGACCGGGUUCAGGCCGGCCGGCCCGAACCGGACGGCCAUGUGGUGGGCGAUGUUGCCCCCGGCGGAGUCGCCGGAGACGAAGACUCGGCUGAAGUCGGCAGAUUCGGCGAGCCAGGGGUCGGCUCCGGCCCCGGCUUCGGCUUGGGCCUUGAGCCAUAAGAGCGCGGUAGCGCCGUCUUCGAUGGCGGCGGGGAGGCGGUGCUCGGGAGCGAGGCGGUAGUCGGCGGAGACGACGAAUACGCCGAGCUCGGCUGCGAGGCGGAGGCAGCCAGCAUGGAAGUUGGGCCAUGUCCGAGAGCCGAUGCAGAAGCCGCCGCCGUGGAAGUAGACGAGCACGGGAAGCUUUUCGUUAUCAUAACCAGAUAGUUCAUGACUAGGUCGGGGACGGUAGAGGCGGAGGAAGAGGCUGUGGGUCGGGUCGAAGAGCACGUCCUUCCACUCGACGGAGCCGUCGUCGCGGUCAGAAUCGACUGGAAAGAUGGGGUCCGGAGAGCGCCGGACGGUGCCGUCGCUCAGCAGCUGCACGACCCCACGGCAGUCCUCGACAACGUGGGGAGGAGAAGAGGAGGACGGCGACAUUGUUUGGUGUUGGAUAUGAUUGGAGGGCUUGGAAUGAAAAUGAAUGAUGAUAAGGUUUGUGAGUUUUUGGCAAUAUAAGUUGGUACUUGGCAGUAGCGAAGGUGAGCACGACACUGUAGGAUUACGUUUGGCGUUUGGUAUUUGGCGCAAAGCCACAUUUGAUUGAAUCACUGUUGUAGUAAUAAAAAUUAUAAAAUUGUAUUUUAACCAAACCAAAUUCCAUAUUUUUAAUUUAUAAAUGUCAUGAAAAUAAAUAUAAUAUUUCUUAAUUAUAAUUUUCCUUCCUACAUUAAUUUACAAAUCUAUAUCACGUAUAAUUUAUUGCAAACUAAGUAAUCUGAUUGCCUAUUAGAAAGCUAUGCAAAAAUUUUUGAAUGAAUACUCCAAUCACCUGCUACGAAAAAAUUUUCACCACUCAAGAUGGAAAGAAAUUUGUACCCCCCUUAAAAAUGUAUGAGUACUAUGACAUUUCAUUAGAAAAGAUGCAAACAGCAAGAAUAGUUUAAAUUGAAAAAAUUAGAUGUUAAAGAAAAUAUCUCUUUAGGAAAAAAAAAAAAAUAUUGAAGUUGAGGAAGAAAGCUUCCCACGACCAAUAAUAUGUGUUGGGAAAUCAAACCCUAGCUAGCAUUAACUAUGAGAAGCUUUUCGUAGGAUUUCUAUCUGUAGAUGAUCCCUUUGAUUCAUGCAUGCAUGCCAUGACUCUUUGAGUCACAAAAGAGUUUAGAUUAUCUUACUAAGUUUAGACCUUAUGGAUGAAAUUAUUAUUAUUACUAUUCGGCCAAUUUGCAAUCGCGCUCUCUCUCCCCAUCGUACUCAAAGUCUGUGGCACCCUUGUCGCCGUUCAUAGUCACGCCCUCCCCUGCAGCCUUACUUUAACGAUUUGUGUCAUAUUCGAAAAGACGUUGAUGAAGGUGUAGACGAGAUAAGAAAGAGAGGCAUGGCAUCAACGUUUGGGCAACAGAGGAGGAGAAUACAGAAGAAAAAGCAUGAGAAAAAUGAAAGGAAGAAAUAACAAACAGAAGGAGGAUGAAUUGGGCGAAGAAAAACAAGUGAGAGAGAGAAAAAAAAAGAGAUAAAUAAUAAUAAGAAUGUAGUAAUUAGUUUACUAAGAAUUCAAGCAGAAUGUACAAAAUUCAAUUUUUUUUAUUAUUAUAAUAUUUUAGAGAAAGAUAACAUGCAUGUUAUUUAUUUUACUUAUUUUUUCACGCACAAACUUAACUAGAAAUAUAAAAUAAUAAAAUUUUAAAUUUCAAAUCUCAAAUACUAACUAUUAACUCCUUAAUUAGCUGUACAUACUAGAUAUAGUUGGUCUUAAAAAAAAAAUUACUUGAUGGGAGAAAGUACUGUAUUGGCAGAUAUGGAACCCAUCAUCUAAGAGUAAAUACUCCAAAACAACGUACUCUAUUAAAUUUCGUGUUGACAAAAACUCCUCAACCCACCAUCAAUUAAUUAAUUUCUUCUAACCAAGCAUAGGAGAGAUGUUUUUUUUUUAUUUUUUAUUAUUUUUUUUUUUUAUUUCAAGUGGUUGAGAUUUGAGGCCCAAAGCAUACGCAAUUUCAUUUUUUUUUUCCAGCUGCUUUAGAUUUCCUUUAGUUGCUUGAAACGUAAACGAAACUUACACCGUGAAAAAGAGUUUUGCUUUUUAUUUUUGAUCCUUCUACGUAGACAUGCAAAAGCGCUUUUAACAUCUUUUGAAUAAAAAAAUGAUAAAGUAUGUACAAAUAAUUAAAAACCAUUUAAAUUAUAAUACAAAUAAAGUUAUCGUGUCAAAUUAAGUAUUAAAAUUUUAAAUUGAUAAUGUCUCCUCACCUAAAAUAGACUCUGUCAAAGAAAAUAAGGUAUGAUAAUAUUGAGGCUCACUUUAGUGCUGUAGUAAUUUUAUUACCAGAAAAAGUAAAUUAAGGCCAGCCUAUUUUGUUAUCUCCUGGCCUAAAAGUUACUAUUUUAUUAUUAUAUUUACCUAUUUUAGAAUCUACUACUAAAUAAAGUCAUAAAGCACUAUAUUUUACAAGUUAAAAAAUAAUAAUAAAGGUAUAAACUUGAAUUAAUUAUUAUCUGCAAUAAGGCAUUCAUACAUAUAUAUAUAUAUAUAUAUAUAUAUAUCACUGUUCACCACCUCCACGUGCUCGCCAUUCCAUGACAAAUAUAUAAAUGUACCGGAUAUGAACAACAAUGUUGUACUGUACAAAUUAAAUAAUUUCAAUUUUGUUUAGUGAAAUUAAAUUUUGAAAUUGAAUAGCAUUUCUUGCAAUAGAGAUUUUUAAUUCUAUUAUAUAUUUACCGUAUAUAUUUUUUCUCUAUCAUUAUUACAAAAGAGCAAAGCUAGGAUUAUAAUCCACAAUGAACUCAAAUUUUACAACAAGUGUUUUGAAAGACUUUUUUAUUAGCUUUACUUUUUAACUAAAAAUAAAACAAUGGACUAGUAAACUCCACGCAUCAUUGAGCUUGUUUGUUUUGGUGAAAAUGAAAAGAGGAAAAAUAAUUUUCGAUCGAAAAUAAAUAUUUUUGAUGUUUGGUUUAGCAUAAUAUAGUUUCAGUUAGACUUUGAGUUUUUUAAAGUACCGUAAUUGACUUCGCGCAAUGGGACCAAAUCAAUUUGGAAAAGAACGCGUGAGGAAAAAAUAUAAUAAAAAUAUGAGGAAAUUGAUUUGAUUGUGGUUGAGGUAAUAAAAAGUUACAAGAAAAUUAGAGGUUAAUGUAAAUUUUGGUGGUGUACUAAUUUUUUUUUUUUUUCACCUUGCUUUGGAUUAAUUUAGUUAUUUAAAAAUAUUUUUUUUAAGUAUAUAAAAAAAUAAUUAUAUUAUUAUAUUACUCAUUAUCAUGUAUCAAGUUUAUAAAAGAUAAUGAUAAGUUUAGCAAGAGUGUGAAAAUUCAACAGUUUUGUACAAAAUAAAUAUAAAAAAUGAAGAAUUUUUAUAUUAUUUAUUUUCUAUCAAAUAAACAAAAAAAUUAAAAGGCUUCACUUUCAAAACUAUAAAAAUAGUUAAAAAAAUUAUUUUUACUUAAAACUCUAUUUAAAUUCAAAAUCUGUUGCAACCUAUAGUCCAAUACAAGAACUAAUGCCACAUCUAGCCUUAUUGAGAAAAAAAAUUUCCAAUCUAGCCUUUUUCUUAAAAAAAUUCCCAACCUAGCCUUUCUUUUGAUGGAUUAGAAAAUAAAAAAGGCUUAAGAGCAUUUAUAUGUUAAUUAGUAGAGAGAAAAUUUUUCUCUCUCUUUCCUCUCAAUUAAUUCUUAUAAUAAUAACAAUAAUUAAAAAUUAAUAUUUAAUAACAAUGAUAUUAUUAUUACUGAAUGAUAAUUUUUUUACUAUUAUUAUUAUUAUCACUAGUAUUUAGUACAAGUGGUAAAUCACUUGGUGGUUGGUACUUGAAGUCCUGAGUUUGAAUUAUUAUUAUUUCAGCUAAGUUUAUUUCUAAAAAAAAUAAAUGAAGAGGAUAGCAUCAUGCUAUCUUUCUGAAAAAAAAAAAUUCAAUAAUAAUAAUAUUUAUUAUUAUUAAAUAUUAAUUUUUAAUAAAUAUUAUUAUAACAAAAAUUAAUUAUUUUUAAAUAUUAGUAGGGUGGGAGGAGAGAGAGAAAAAAAUUUCUCUCUCCAAGUUAGCAUAUAAAUACUAUUAAAGUUAUCUUUUAUUUUCUAAUUAUCAAAAGAAGGCUAGGUUAGGAAUUUUUUUAAAAAAGAGGCUACAUUGGAAAUUUUUUUUUUCUAAUAAGGCUAUACAUGGCAUUAGUUCCCAAUACAACAAUACCACCACGCAGGCUCACAAGUCAUAACGUUAUUUAGCCACCACAACCACCUCUUCCUCCUCCUCCUCCUCCUCCUCCUCUUCUGCCGCCGCCAUGUCGUCAUCCUCCUCUUCUCCUCCUCCGCACGUUGUCGAGGACUGCCGCGGCGUCGUGCAGCUCCUGAGCGACGGCACCAUCCGGCGCUCUCCGGACCCCAUCUUUCCUGUAGAUUCUGACCGCGACGACGGCUCCGUCGAGUGGAAGGACGUGCUCUUCGACCCGACCCACAGCCUCUUCCUCCGCCUCUACCGUCCCCGACCUAGUCAUGAACUAUCUGAUUAUGAUAACGAAAAGCUUCCCGUGCUCGUCUACUUCCACGGCGGCGGCUUCUGCAUCGGCUCUCGGACGUGGCCCAACUUCCACGCCGGCUGCCUCCGCCUCGCCGCCGAGCUCGGCGUACUCGUCGUCUCCGCCGACUACCGCCUCGCCCCCGAGCACCUCCUCCCCGCCGCCAUCGAGGACGGCGCUACCGCGCUCUUGUGGCUCAAAUCCCAGGCCGAAGCCGGCGCCAGAGCCGACCCCUGGCUGGCGGAAUCCGCCGACUUCAGCGUCGUCUUCGUCUCCGGCGACUCGGCCGGGGGCAACAUCGCCCACCACAUGGCCGUCCGGUUCGGGCCGGCCGGCCUGAACCCGGUCCGCAUCCGCGGGUUCAUCAUCCUAAUGCCGGCCUUCGGCGGGGUCGACCGGACCCGGUCGGAACUGGAGUGCCCGGCCGACGCGUUCCUGAAUUUGGAGGUGGCCGACCGGUACUGUCGCCUCAUGCUGCCGCGCGGCGCGACGAGGGACCACCCACUUUUCAACCCGUUCGGACCGGAGAGCCCGAUCCCCGGCCCGUUCGAGACCGGCCCGGUUCUCGUGGUGGCGGCCGAGCGGGACCUCCUGCGGGACCGGCACGCGGAGUACGCUGCGAAGAUGAGGGAGCUGGGGAAGCCUGUGGAGCUCGUCGAAAUCCAGGGGCAGGAGCAUGGCUUCUUCGCGACGAAGCCGUGGUCCGAACCGGCCGGCGAGCUGGUCCGGAUCAUCAAGCGGUUCAUGGACGAGUUCCGAAGCGACUCGGCCUGAACCGGUUCUACGUCCGAAUUUUUUAUAGCAACCUGCGAGUGCUUCACUAGUUUCGUCAUUUCCACUGUUAUGUUAUCUCGACUAUCUAAAUCUAAUGUGGUUUCCCCUACAACAACAACAACAAUAAUAAUAAUAAUAAUAAUAAUAAUAAUAAUAAUAUAGAGCACAUGGUACAGGUUCAAGUCAUUUGACAUUCAUUUUAUUUGUCUCAAAAGUUUUUGAUAGUUUCUCCAAGGCGACAAGUCCUGAUUUGAAAUUCUUAAUUUUCUCAGGGUCUCAUUACCGCAACUAUAUAGUGGGUUUAGUACGGCAGUGCUAAAAUUCAAAUGGCGAGUUUUAAUUAAAUAUUAUUAGCUUUUUUUAUCAAGAAGUUGAUAUAUUUUUAAAAUCUAAUUAAGUAACUGCUCUGUGGUUCCGGUCCUAAUAGUUUGGAGACCAAUUUGUAAAGCAGCAACUCGAACACCACGGAAAAUUGAAAUUUCCCCUCUCCUAGGUUUCGUUUUCGGCACUUCUGAACGAGAGUGGUGGGUUGUAUAAACUCUAGACACUAUGGGUGAAGUUUGAACACUUUUUUAUGUGAUAUUUUAAUUUAAAUUUAUUUAUUAAAAAUAAAAAAAUAAAAUAAAUAGAAUUCGUUUGUUGAUCUGGCAAAUAGAAGAGUUGAAAAAACCGCAGAUAAGACAUUAUACCUGCGAGUCAUAUAGGUAUGGAUGAAACCUAUUGUAAAUUUUUAGAUAGGUUGCAUUUUUAUCCAUACUGGUCCGCGGGCGGAUGAGUAUGUGGGUUAUCUGCAAAUUAUUAUUUUUUUUUCUAUACUUUUCAAAUGUAAAAUACGGAUAUAUAAUUUUUUAAAAAAUCCUAAUACAACUUAUUAUCUGCAAUGUCACAAUAUACAAUAAAUAAUAUAAAAUUUUAAAACGCAUAAAUCUUGAUAUUAUUAACUAUAAACAAAUAUGUUUGGUGGGUUCUCCUCACCCCCUUCUACCAAGGCUAUAUUGAUAAUUUAUUAUUAACUGAAUGUUAACCAUAAAUUUAUAUAAUUAAAUUAUAAAUAACAAUUUAGAAUUUUAAAACUUAAUACAAUGAGAUGAAGGCCUCAAAACUCUUUUUAGAAAAUUAUAGCAUAACAAAAUUUUUCAAAACUUUUAAAAAAGAAAGUGCUUUUUCUUUUUCCAUAACAAAAUUCAUUUAUUCAAAAAAUUUAAAAAAAUUUAUAGUAAACUAAUUAUUAUGUAGAUAUUAAUUAUAAUGUUAUAUAAUUAACUUAUAAAUAACUAUAAUGUUGAAAAGUAUGUUAAAUUAAAGCAAUUUUUAUUUCCAAUCUAAAUUUUCUCUAUCAUUUUUUAAAAGAUAUUUAAAAUUUUACGAAAUACUAAACUUCAAUUAGUGUCUUAAGGUUCCAAAAUAUAUCCUUUAAUUACACUUUUAUACCAACAAAAUUUUAAAUUAAAUGAUGAAUUUUGAUGAUUAAGGCGAAAAAAUACAGUGUAGCAUAGUUAAUUUUUUAAAAUUAGUAAAGCAAAAUUUAAAUAUGCAAAAUCAUAAAAUAGAUAACUAUUAUUUGUUAAAUUGUUUGGACAUUUCUCUGUCCAAACAAAAUGCAUUUAUUUAGAAAAUUAAAAAAAUUAAACUCAACUAAUUAUUAUCUAGAUAUUAAUUUUAAUAUUGUAUAAUUAAAUUAUAAAUAACAAUAAUGUAGAAAAUUAUAUUAAAUUAGAUAUUUGAAAGAUAUUUAAAAUUUUACAAAACACCAAACUUCAAUUAGUGUCAUAAGGUUACAAAAUAUAACCUUUAAUUUUACUUUUAUACCAAAAAAAUUUAAAUUAAAUGACAAAUUUUAAUAAUGAAGGGAAAAAAAAAAACAACAUAGAAGAGUUCAUUUCUGAAAAUUAGUAAAACAAAUUUUAAACAUGCAAUAUCAAUAAGGACUAAAAUUUAUUAUUAGGGCUCAGAACUUUUCAAGAAAAAUUUACAGUAUAAUAAAAUUUUUCAGAACUUUUCCAGAAGAGGUGUUUUUCUUUUCUUUCCAUAACAAAAUUGAUUUUUUUAUAAAAUUUUAAAAAAAUUAUAGUCAACUAAUUAUUAUCUAGAUAUUAAUUAUAAUGUUAUAUAAUUAACUUAUAAAUAACUAUAAUGUUGAAAAUUAUGUCAAAUUAGAGUAAUUCUUAUUUUCAAUCUAAAUUCUCUCUAUUAUCUUUUAAAAGAUAUUUAAAAUUUUACAAAAUAUUAAACUUCAAUUAGAAUUUUAAAUUUAUAUAUUCGAAUUAUUGUGGUCUAUUUAUAUGAUUCAUCGAAUUUUAUUCUUCCAUACAUGUAAGAAAGAUGAUGGCCAAGAGAUAAACGUGCUCAUAGAAAUGAAGAGUUUUUGGUUUUCUUCUAAGCAUCGGAGAAAUAGAGGUUUGAAUAUUUUUUUCUCCGAACAAAAGUAUUAGAAUUUCUUCAAUUAAUGAAGGAAUAAAAGACUUAAUAUUUAGUUUCUUCAUCUUUUAGGCAUCCGAGAAACGUGGUGUGGAAUAGACGUAUCUUUUCCAAGAAACGAAGAGGUAUUUUCUCUUAAAAACGAAGAGACUUCUCCAAUAAACGAAAAGAUUGAAUAGAGAAGUAUACAAGUUCAUAUUUUAUCUUUCAAAUGCUUAAGGAAUAAAUGUCACUUAUGUUGAUAGAGGAGAUGUAUUUUGUCCAAGAAACAAAGAGCUUUCUCGAAGAACGAAGAGGUUGAAUAAAGAAGUGUGCACUUUGAAUAAAUGCAAUUAUGUUAAUCAUUAUUAAAUAUUUAUAAAUUAUUUUUUUCUUAUUUCCUUUUUUUUUUCUAUAUAAGAAAGUAUUGUUGCCAUAGACAGUGCAUCAAUUAGGACUUGAAUUUGAAGAGAAAUUUUUUUUUUAAAAGAAGAUAUUCUGAAUAUUGUGUGGAUUUUCAAUCAAUUUGAUGAUAUUUAUUUAAUUGGUCUUCAUACCUUUACUAAACAAUUAGUUUUGUAAAAUUAUUUUUUUAAAUUUUUUUCUUAAUGUGCAUGCUUUGGUGAUUUUUGUUUUUUAAAUUGAUUGUUUACUCAUACUUGUGAGAGUUGUAUACAAUAAAAUUGUACUUGUAGUGAUUUUUUUAAUUUACUUUCAUAUUUUUUGAUGAUUCGAUGAAUUAGUUGCAUAGUAAAUUGCUUUCACUUUGUAAAUUGGUUGUCUUUUCUUCCUUUUUUUUAUGAUUUCAUUUUUCUAAAAUUUUACUAAAAUUUUAAAAAAACUUUACUUCAAUGGCUGCUAAUUAUUUAUUUUUUUUCUAUUUUAUUCACAAUAUGUCGUUAGCAUAUAGCUAUCUUUCAAUAUUGGAUUGAUGAUGAGAAAAAUGUGCAAUUGUCAAUUGACAUUUUAAUGAAAAUUUUUACUAGAGUUGAUUUAGCUACUCUUUACUCUUCUUAGAUAUCUCUUUCUACUUCAAUAGAGCAAUUGAUAUAUUUGAAUUUUUGUUGCAUCGUUGCCAAAGAUUGUUUGGAACGUUUGGCUUGUUCAUACAGCAACUCGAUAUAAUACCUGUAGAAUUUGCCCCAACACAUAAUACUUUGAUUUUAUCAAAUUUUACCUUAAAAUUUAUGUCAGAAAUUGUUUAUAUUCUUUCAUUCUCAUUGAAUAAAUUUUUGUUAUGUUCAAAUAAUAAUUUUCAAUAUGAAUGUUAUGUUCGUUUGAAUAAUAAUCUUCAAAUAAUACUUAUUUGUAGUUUGUUUAUAGUUUGCAAUAUUUUAUAAUUUUUUAAAUUUGGCACUACUUUUUAAAUAUAUUAUUUCUCCACUAAUUUGUUAGUUUAUUUAAUUAUAUUAGAAAUAAUUAUACAUGCAACGCACGUGCACCGACUAAUUAUAUUUAAAAGCAUUUUACAUAUACCCGGAGCAUUGGUCAAUGGAAAAAUGGUGCAGCGUCAGAGGCCACGUGGUAGGAGAGAUAACCACAGCAAAAACCAAAAAAAAAAACACGUGGAUAAAUUAGGUUUAUAAUUUUUGAGAAUGAAUAGACAAAAAAAAAAUUUUAUUUAAUUAAAAAUAUAUGGAGGUAUCUAUGGGCACUCCCAAAUUGUCAAAAAUACCCAUAAUCUACUAGCUAUCAUCUUCUUUAUCUAUAAUUUUUUAGAUAAAAAAAUUAGUAUCCGUAUUUACAAAUUUAUGAAUAGUUUAUGAGUAUAGAUAGAGAUUGCCAAGUCUACUAGUUUUGUAUUUUUGUUAUAUUUUUAUUUUUUACACACUAAUUCUUUAUAAUUUAAUUUGUUGAAAAAAUGACUUUUUACUUUUUUUAGCUUACAGUUAAUUAGCUUAUAAUGCAUAUCACAUAAAGUGGUAGAUGCCAGCUUUUUUUUUUUUUAAGAAAUAGAUAGUAUGUUAUUUGCUUAGUUCAAUUUUAGAAAUAAUUUGGCUGAAAUUUUAAAGCAACUCAGUUUUGUUUUAAAUUCAGAAUCUUAAAUACCAACCAGAAAAAAAAUAUCAUUAUUAUCAAUAUAUUGAUACAAUUUAUAAGUCAAUUCCAGUAGGUAUAAUGGCAAAAAACUUAAUAAUUUGUAUCCGAAAUUUCAAGUUCGAAAAUUAGCUACGUUAUAUUUUUAACUAAGUUUAUUUUUUUUAAAAAAUAAAACAUUUAUAAUAUCCUUGUUACCCGAUGAACACGAUCAUUUAUUUUGUGAGAACGGCACACCGUACUCGUUUGACAAAUGGGUGAAAUAUAAGACUUUGAUUUUUUUUUUAUACAUCGUUCGUGUUUGACAAAUUGGUGAAAAGUAAUACUUUGAUUUUUUUUAUAGAUCGUACUCGUUUGACAAAUUGGUUAAAUAUAAGACUUUAAUAUAUAUAUAUUUUUUUUAGAAAGAAAGAUAACUAUACUAUUUGUUAAAAAGAUGUAGCAAUUAGACUUCGAAUUUGAGGCUCUGGGAAUCAAUCAUCAAGUUCUUUGCCAUUUACGUUAGGAACAAUCAGUGCGAAAUAUAGUAGUUUGAAAAAUCACAUUGCAGAAUAAAAAAAUUGCACCAAUCGUUUCUAAUACAAGAAGUAAAAAAUUUGAUAGUUAUUCCGGUUGCCUCUUUGGCUCUACUUAACGGUUUGUACCUUCCCGACAAUCCGAUUCAAAUAUGUCAUUUGAUGUUUCACUUUUGUCCAAAAACAUUCUGAUUCGAGUGAUAAUAAUCUAUAUUUUUCACUACUUAAAUUACAUAUGAAAGUUUUAGAAUUUGCAUUAUUUAGGCUGCUGAAUUAUUAGAACGGCUCGGUCGACAAUGUGAAAUUUAGCAUAGAGCUCUUUAAGUCCCAAAUUGAUUCAAUUGUGUUCUCGGCCCAACAUAGCUAGGGUUCUAGCAAGGCAUUUUACACUAAUUCAGUCAUAUUUUAAAGUACAAAAAGACGAGAUGUUUACGCGGUCUUAAAAAUAUUUCAGAGGCAAGAUAAACAAAUAUAUAUGGUUGACAAAAGGGUGGUCGAGAGGAGAUGAUCCCAAAUUCUAGAAUGAAAUGUACAGCAUAAAUAAUUAAAAUACUGUUCUCUAGUAAGUAUAUGUUUUAGAGAAAUAAAUCAUUAUGCACUCUGGGUACGUAAACGGAAUAUAUGAGUUUAAAUCUCCUAAAUAUGCAAAGAAAUAAUGAUUUUAUACACAUAAUUGUAUCAAAAAGUUGUUUGUGGAAACACAUUAUAAGAUGCUUUUGCAACUGUAGGUUUUAUGUUAUGACAAGCAUACUUUUUCCAUAACAAAGUAGGCAGGCCUUGGAGAUUUGGAUUAAGGAUGUGGUGCUUAAUGAAUGAGACAGAAAAGAACAGUAGAUCGGUGCGAACUAAGUGAUUUUUCACGUUCAUGUAAAAACAUUUUUAAAGUUGUUCUCAUGUUUUGUAUCUUUUGAUUUUAAUUGGCUUCAGUUUUGAAACCAAUCAUACCUAAUAUAGUUAGUUGGUAAGGACUCUAUGGUUGGUAUCUAAGAGGCGUGUUUGGUUCGCUUCUUUUUUACCAUGGAAUCGGAAUCGGAAUGGAUGAAUAUGUUUAUGGGUGUUUGGUACGCGGGAGUCCCAUUCCGAUUUCGAUUUUCGAGUGGAAUGGGAAUCCCCCAAUCAUCCAUUUUUUCAAUCCGGCCUCCUAGACCGGAUUGGAAGUUGAAUUCGGACGGAAUGAAUAUUUAUUCGGAUUAAAUUUAUUUUUUCAACUUUUUUAAUUAAAAUAUGAGUUAAAAUUUAAAAAUUAAAUAUAUAAUUUUAAAUUUUAAUUUGAACUUAAAUUAAAAAUUAAAAUUUAAUUAAGUAUUUCGAAUCUAACUUAUGAAUUUGAAUUUAAAUUAAAUUUUAAUUUAUAUAAAGUUUAUUCAAAUUUUAUUUCAAACUUAAAUUAAAUUUAUGAAUUCAAAUUAAAAUUUAAACUGUAAUUUUAAGUUUGACUUUGAAUAAAUAAAAAUUUAGUUUCAUAUUUUGAAUUAUCCACUCAACUUCAAAGAUUAAUUUAUUUUAAAAAAAUUGAUUUAAAAUUUUGACAUUAUUUAAAAAUUUUGAUGUAAAUUUUUAAUAUUUAAUUUUUAAUUUGAAUUUAAAUUAAUAUAUUAUAAAGAUAACGUUAUUAUAUUAAUUUGAUUACGUUUUUUAUAUCCACUUGAACCAAAUACCAACAAUGGGAAUUAUUUAUUUCGAUUCCAAUUUAGGUGAUGAACCAAACGGAAUUAGAUAAUAAGUCAUUCCGAUUCUGAUUCCAGCUUAUUUUGAUUCCGAUUCCGAUUCCGAUUCCGAUUUCGACUCCGACUCCGAUUUUAACUUCGAACCAAACACGCCCUAAGUUUCUAACUUUGGAAGCUUAAUUGUUUCAUGCUUUUAUGGAUACCUCGCUAACUUUCUUUUAAUAGUGAUAUUUUUUUUUUAUUCCUAAGAAAGUCCACUAUUCGAAACUAUUUUUCCAUAUAUCUGAUUUUUAUUUAAAAAAAUUUCUUUUCCAUUUUUUUGGGGCGACAUUACAACAUUAUCGGCAGGAGCAGAUACUAACGUUCGCCCUCAACAACAAAAACAAUAGAAAAGCGACAAAUAGGGAAAAAAAAAAGAAGAUGCAAAAAAUAGAAAAUUACAAAAAAAAAAGGAAAAAAAAAGAGGAAACAAAUUAAAGACCAUUUAUUCCGUCAACACCGCAAACCGUCCCGGAGCGGUUCAGGCCGAGUCGUGUCCGAACUGGUCCAUGAACCGGCCGAUGAGCCGGAUCAACUCGUCGACCGGUUCGGCGUAGGGGUCGACCUCGAAGAAGCCGUGCUGUUGCCCCGCGAACUCGACGAGCUCAACGUGCUUCCCCAGCUCCCUCAUCUUCAUCACGUAGUCCACCUCCCGAUCCCUCAAAACGUCUCGCUCGGCGACCACCAUGAGGAUCGGGCCGGUCUCGACCGGGCCCAGGUUCGGGCUCUCCGGUCCGAACGGGUUGAACACCGGGUAGUCCUUCGUCGCGCCGGGCGGCAGCAUGAGGCGGCAGUACCGCUCGGAUUGCUCCCGGUUCAGGAACGCGUCGGGCGGGCACUCCGACUCGGACCGGGUCGGCUGGGCCCCGCCGAAGGCCGGCAUUAGGAGGAUGAACCCGCGGACGCGGACCGGGCCCAGGCCGGCCGGCCCGAACCGGACGGCCAUGUGGUGGGUGAUGUUCCCGCCGGCCGAGUCGCCGGAGACGAAGACGCGGCCGAAGUCGACGGAUUCGGCGAUCCAGGGGUCGGCUCCGGCGCCGGCUUCGGCUUGGGAUCUGAGCCAGGAGAGGGCGGUGGCGCCGUCGUCGACGGCGGCGGGGAGGCGGUGCUCGGGGGCGAGGCGGUAGUCGGCGGAGAUGACGAACACGUUGAGCUCGGCGGCGAGGCGGAGGCACCAGGCGUGGAAGUUGGGCCAGGUGCGGGAGCCGAUGCAGAAGCCGCCGCCGUGGAAGUAGAAGAGGAGGGGGAGCUUCUCGCUACUGCAAUGAUCGGACGAUCGAUCGCGGCGGGGGCGGUAGAGGCGGAGGUGGAGGUCGUGCUGGGGAUCGUAGAGGGAAUCCUUCCAUUCGACGGAGCCGUCGUCGUGGACGGUGACGGGGAAGAUGGGGUCGGGGGAGCGCAGGAUGGUGCCGUCGCUCAGGACGCGGAUUGCGCCGCGGCAGUCCUCCACGACGUGAGGAGGAGGAGGAGGAGGAGACGAGAGGGGAUUAGCGGUGGCGAGGGGGGAGGCCAUUUUUUGUUGGAUCUGAAUUUGUGGCUGAAGAAGAAUUUGUUUUGUAGCUAAACCAGCUGUAGAGACAAUUGCUGUUGCUUCGGUGUGUGUGUUGAGGAGGGUGGAAGGGGAAGAGAUUUAUUUAUAUAGAAGAUGCCUCCUUCUGAAAACCAAACCGCACGUGUUUAUUAAUCGGACGGAAAGCAUUUGCUAAUUAAAGAAAUGGGAGUUCCUCAUUCGUACGUGUGAAACCUGGGGUCGCACGACGGUGACCUUCUAGUUACAUGCAUCUAGCCACGUCCAGCGUUGCAGCUAGCGAAAAAAUAAUAUUUCUCGUGGGAAAAAUUCUCCUUUAUUAUGUAGCGGGGUCAAAAAAAAUCUAGAAGAGUCAAAGAUGGAGUAGUCACAAGGAGAGAGCGUCGGUGGCCUGCUUCUAGAGAGAAAGCGAAGUUUCUGAUGAGGGUACUCGGUGCUCCACGGUUUCGAGUUUGGAAGGAAAAGAAGCUGUAUCGAGAAGACCAGAAACGUCAAAUUUGAUGACGCAGCAGAUUAGGUGAAUGACAUCACGCAUGGCGUAGAACGGAUGACAUUAGAUAUUGCCGGGAAAAAUAAAAUACAAAUGGCAACGAGAAAAUCGAGCAAGGCAGUUUGAAGCAUACGGAACUUAAAAAAUUCAAAAUUCUGUAAUCAAUUACUAUUGAGGGAGCCACUUAUCGCUACACAAAAGUUUGAAUUCAUUCCCGGCUGAAAUUUUAGGUUCUGGUAGUUAUUCACAUUUCCGAAGAAACCAAGCAUUAAGCUCAUCGAAUGAUUAAAUUUAGACAAAAAUCUAUGAAGAACAGCCGAUCACCUCUCGAAACCUUCCAACACCUCUCAUAGCUCAUAGUUUUUUUCAAUCGAGUCAAUAAAAUUAAAAGUACACGAUUCUAUUAGAUUUAAUAACUUAAAUCACUUCUUAAGGAAAUAAAAAUGAAAUUAAUUAAUGCUUAAUAGUCAAGAAAAUCUUAAUUUUUGUAAGGCCAAUUUGCAUAAAAAAUCCACUUAUUUUGGGCUUUUGCAAAAUCGGGCCAUCUUUUUUAUUUUUGCAGAUUCGGUCCGCUUUUUCAGCAAACUGACCAAAAUACCCUUAUUACUUUUUCUCUUUCCUCUUUCUCUCUCAUCUUCGUUCUCUCGUUCUUUUAAUUUUUUUUUCGCCGGAAAAAAAAAANGGAGAGGGGCUCGUUGCCGGCGACGUCGCCGGAGCGGACGAAGGCGACGUCGCCGGGGCAGGGGUGGCGUUUCCGCCUCUGCCGCUCUCUGGGAAGAGAAAGGAAAAAAGAACGACAAAAAAAAAAAGAAGAAAGAGAAAAAGGUACAAGGGCAUUUUGGUCAGUUUGCUGAAAAAGCGGACCGAAUCUGCAAAAACGAAAAAGGUGGCCCGAUUUUACAAAAGCCUAAAAUAAGUAGAUUUUUUAUGCAAAUUGGCCUUUUUGUAAACUAGAAAUAAUUUAGAUAAAAAAAAUUACACGGUGAGAGGUGUUAACUAAAAAAAAAAAAAAAAAAAAAAAAAAAUUAAAGAGUACCCGCGUCCAAUCGACGUAUAGUUGAGGGGGUCUCCUCAAAUUAUCACAUUAAAUUUAUUAAGGACUUCUUGUGGCCUCGGACGGCCCACAAAACUUCCAUUUCAGAUUUUAAAUCAGGAUCCAAAUCGCAGAACAACGCAAGUCUCAACCCAAGAGUAUGUCUAUCAAAAAUUUCAAGUUCAGAUCAGAUUCAUAGCCGCUGAAAAAUAUAUAAUAUUUUGCACAACAACAAUAUCUUUGUAAACACCGAUCGCACCUGACAAACUUAGCUAAGAGCUUGAUUGUUUUUUGAGAGAUAAGUAGCAUGCUACUGCUUCAUUUAUUUCAUUUAGAAAUAAAUUUAGCUAGAAAUGUGAAUCAACUAGGAUUCGAACUUGGAUCUCGGGUACCAAACACCAAAUCCUUUGCCACUUCGUUAGAAAUAAACUUAGCUAAGAGCUUGAUUGUUGGUAUCCGAAGUCUCCUAAGAAAGAUGAAUAAGGAGGAACCGAGGGAACUCAACAUUUUGCAAAACCACAGAAAUAUCAGUUAUUGAUAUGGACAGCAAAUUUUCAUAUCUUUGUUCAGGCAAAACAUAUUACUAGAGCCUGUUAUUGAUAAAAAAUAUGACUGUUUCUUUCAUUAGCUUUGCUUCUUUCACUACUGACGCCUCAUGCAACAAGAAUAUGAUGGAAAACCAUUAGUGCAUACGACUACGAUCUCAAUGAGAAUGAGAAUGAUAGAGCUAUACCUGCAAUGCCCCUGAACUGAAGCAGCACCACAGUACAAUUAAGUUAGAUGGAAAUGGUACAUAACCUUUGUCUCUUUUGUCGGAUUUGGCAAUAUGUCGUGUGAAGGGGCGUUUUCCAUUUAAAGACAAACAUGAGGAGGUAUCAACUUCCCCGGAUUCAUGAUACUAUUGGGAUCCAAUGCGGUCUUUAUUCUCUUCAUUGUUCUCAAUGCGCCAAUCCCAAGCUCCUCUUCAAGGUACUGCAAGAAAAGAAUCUUUAGACACUUCUACAGUCCUUGUCUUUAGAUACAACUACAGUUUAUUGAAAGUUUUAAACAAAAUAUAUGGCAACUACAAUAGGUAAUUUACGUGAGUGCAUGUUUCAAUGGACCGACAUUUUUAAAGCAUUAGUCACUUCAAAACCAGACUAUAUCACAAAUAUAACACAUUCAAAACAUCUAAAAAUUGUGCGCUAAUGGUGCUAAUGAUAGAGUUGAUAAAUCAUAUGGAAACUGAAAUUGUGUGCUAAUGGUGCUAAUGAUAGAAUUGAUAAAUCAUAUGGAAACUGAAGUUAUCGGUUUCCCAAGCAGCUAUCCGAUGGCUCUUCUAUUUUACAAGAAAAGCCUCAUCCCGGUUGGCUACUUUUCUUUCAUCAUUCUCUUAUUCACCUUUGUGGAUCAACAUUUAUGUGUAUAUAUGCUUUAAUCUUAUUUCACCUAUUCUGUUCUGCCAUGACUCUUAGGUAAGGUAGGAAAAUUGUACCUUCAUUUUCCCAGUACCCACUCCAUGUUCUCCUGUACAAGUUCCUGUUUAGUAGCCACAUAUAGCUCAUAUUAAAGCACAUUAAAAACACAGAAUGUAAUCAAGUAGUCUAUCAUCCUCCUAGGAUAAUUAUAUGCUAACAAAGUUAAAACUUCAGCGGAAAACUAAUUACUAAGCAUGAUUGCUAACAGAGUUGAUGCUAAUAUACUGAAGCUAGGCUUUUCUAGCAUCUCAGAUAGUAUGAUUACCUUCCAUUGACAAGGCUGUGUGGACCAUGAAAUGGUUGAGUCUCUCAGCUUCUUGCUGUUGUUCUUCCUUGCUUGGAUCAAAUAGAAUAAUUGUGUGGAAGUUUCCAUCACCAGCAUGAGCAAUGACCAUGCUGUGAGCAUAAAAAGGUUAAUAAUCAAUAUUAGAUUCCGGAGAAAUUAUUUUACAAGCUAUAAAGCACAAGUUUUCAAAGUGUUAUCAUCUAUAUAAAAUUUCAACACUAGCUGCCACUAUCAAGCCUUUUAGUCCCAACUAUUUAGAGUCGUUUGUAUGCUUAUAAGGAUACCAUUCUCCAUCCAAAUCUAUUUUUCCAAAAAAAUCUUUGUCAAACCAAGUGCCAUCAUAUCUUUUCUCACUAUCACACCAUAUUAUCAAAUUUGAUCUUCCGCUCCCAGAGGUAUUUAUGCUAGAACAAAUUAACCCACCUUUACUUCUAUUUUGAUGCAAUUUCUGUUGUACAAGCUAAACCAUCUCCCAUGCUUGUUCUCUAUGUGCCAUGCAUGUCUUGAAUCAAUAUGGUUGUUAUUAAUUAUACAAUUUUAUUUACUUCACCUACAAAAAAAGCAUGCUCGAGAUGUUCUAACUUGAACAACUCUUUUGCUGAACAAUCAGAUAAAAGAGCUUACCAUGUUAACGGUGAAGCAUCAAGCUGUUGCUUUGAUUUUGAAAUACAUUCUGCAAGCCUUGAUAAAGGAACACAGACAUCCUGGAAAGAGAAAAACCAGUAAGAUGCUAGGAAAAAGAUAAAGCGCGUCAAAUAAAUCAUUUAGAAUAUGUGCAUGCAUGCCCUUAUGAUUUACAACAAGGCAAAGGAUCACAGACUUGUUCGUACUAGGUAGUUCAGGCAGUAGUAACAGAUUAGUGGAAGCAUGCAUUAAUGGGGAAAAAAAAAACUGUCUGGUUAUUUAUGAAAAGCAGAAGCACAUUUCAAUUGCCUUUUAACUAGACUAAACAGGAAGUUGGAAUUAGCCUGCUUGAUACCAAUUUAAUCCUUAUAUUUUAGCUAAUUGUCAUCUAUUCUAGUGCAACUAAAAUUUCAAAUAAAAGGAAAUUGUUUAAAAUUAUCAAGAGACAAACCGUUAUCAUUGCCUCAUACCCAGGUGCCAUAGCAAAGCCUGCCCAAAGCGCCUCCUUCCGUAUCUGCAUAAAAAGAACGUCCAGACAUAAUUACAAAAAAGAAUGUCCAGACAUAAUUACUGAAAAUAAAUAACUGGAAGAAUAAAAUGGAGUGGCCUCUAACAUAUAUUGACUAAGCUCAGAAACUAUGUCAUAGAGUAUUGACAGAACAUAUUAACCUUUAUUAGGAAUCCACCAGCAUGAAAGUUUCAGAGCAUAUGAUGUAAGAGCUCAAGUUCACUCAAUUAAGAUAGGUCACAAUCACCUAUUACACAGACCGAGUGUCAAGAUGAUUAAGUUAUGCGAUGGAUGUUUAUUCUGUGAUUGUUAAUUACUCCUCUUCAUGGAUCUGAAAAGAUUUUACACUAGUAAUGAUUCAUUAAUUUCAAGACAAAUGAUUAAUGAUACUUAUACUAUCAAGUAAGUGAGACAAUAUUUUUAAAUUUUAACCAGUCACAGAAUGGAAUUCAGUGAAUGGAACCUGUUUUUUUUAUCAAUGAGGAUAUAAGAAAAAUCAACUCAUGGAUACUUAUACUAUCAAGUAAGUGAGACAAUAUUUUUAAAUUUUAACCAGUCAAAUUAGGGAAUUCAGUGAAUGGAACCUGUUUUUUUUAUCAAUGAGGAUAUAAGAAAAAUCAACUCAUGGAUAUGUAUACUAGAUGAACCAAAUAAGAGCAAUGCACACGUAUGCAAUAUCACAGUUGAUAAAUGUUUGUCAGUAAAUAAGGGUGAUGAACUGGGCUGGCCCAAAGUGACAGUGUUAUGUUACCACACUAUAAAUUCUCAAGCCAAAAAACUAUGGUCAGAAAAACAAUAAGAUAAAUAUAUCAACAUAAGUAUUCAUAUAAAAAGAAAAUAAAAAAGACUUCAAAAGAAUGGCAUGUCUGACCUUCCAUAGCUCCUUUUUAGCAUCAGGAUCUUCCACAAAAACAAAAUCAGAGCCAUUAUGUUCUGAAACGAUAUUCUGAACCAGCAAUGUUUGUUCUCGUGCAUAUGCUUCUGAUAAUUUGAAAACAGAAACAAUUUAAUAAGACUGACUUAUAAAGGAUUUACAAAAUAAAAAGCACAAACUGAGAACAAUUUUUUGAAAAACAGCCAAAACCCUUUGUAGCAUACCUGUGCCUAUAAAUUCGAACAUCAAUGUGGGAACUUCAGGUAUAUUUUUCCCAUUUGCCAAAUUAAUUGCCUUUAUUUGAACCUCAUCCAACAGCUCCACUCUGGAUACCUACUCAGGGAUGAAGGAAGAAACAUCAACAGAUAACAUCAACGAAAUAUUUUGACAUUUCAUUACAAUCAAGAAAGACAUGCAAUUGACAUUUUGAUAGUCCAUAUGAAAUAAAGACAUUUAAAAACAUAUGAAAAAUAAGGAUUUGCUUUAAUAAUUGCGUAUUUACCAUCUGAAAAAUCUAUAUCAAUUAAUCACUUUCAUUUUUCUAGCACUAGAACAUAUUAAUACACAACAAAUAGGGCACCAUUACAAGUCUCGAAACAGCAACAUACUCAGGAAGAGCAACCAUGAAGAGAAGGGUGCAGUUUAGCACUGUCUGCACAACUAAUUUCUGACGCAAUUGAAUAAGCUUUUGUAAUAUUACUUUUUUAUACUUUUCCGAACUUUCCAAUAACAGUUACCAAUAUUUUUCUUAUUUUCGUUAUAAAAAAGGCUUCACACAUUAUCUUUCUGCUCACCAUUAAUAUUACUGAUAUAUACUUAUCAACACAGAAUAAACCCCAAUAAACAGAAAUAUUUUGGAGGAAAGCCCACAAUUAUUACACAACAGAAGAAAGCAUACCAGUUUAGACUCUCAAUUUUACAACUCCUUAGCCGAUCUUAUUACAAGACUCUCAAAUUGGCCACUCCAUAGCUAAUCUUAUAACAAUUUCAGGCCAACUUUCUUUUCCAAUUGGUAACUUGUCUCAAAGAAAAAAAAAAAAAAAAUCAGGUUGGAGCCUAGGUCAAAUUCGCAGUUCAACUAUAUAAUCUCAGUAUAGGAACUUGGUUCAGUACGAGUUUAGGUGUUUGAUCCUUUAAUCACAUGCAAAUUUCUACUAGCAAUUAUGCACUGACUGUUAUCAAUUAUUAAUGUUUUGGCCAUAAACCAACAGUCAAGGGUAAUACAGUCGUCAACAAGGGAAAAGUUACACCAAUCACAAUCCAGCUUGGAUGGCUCUUAACCACUAAUUAAUAAUCUUUAUGUUUGUUGCAAGAACAUAAUGCAGAAUAAAAAAUAAAACAAACAAACAAAUAAACAAACAAAGAGAUAUUCACCACCUGAAACACCAAGACUAUAAUAAGAAUGACCACAUUCAUAUUGUCAUAAGAAAAGCCAAAUGUGAAAACCGAUACACUAGCUCCUGAUAGACAAUAGAAAACUUUGAAAGAAAGAAAUAGCAAAGAAUAGAUAGAGAGAUAAGGAGACUUAUUAUCCAAUACUCAAACCUGUAUACCAGAAAGCAUUGUAGCAAUGGCAACAUCAGCAGCAUCCUUUAUUGUUUGGAAAUUGCACAUAGCAACCUGAAAUAUGAGAGACAAGUAGGAUGAUCACUCUAAAAUAUGGUAUAGAAGGGAAAAAGACCCAAGAUACUAGAUACUCUACUACAAAAGAAUAGAAGGAAGAGAUGAAAUUAACCCAUGCCGAAGCACAAAAUGGAUGUAUAGAACAAGAAAUGGGAUUUGAUAUUUCUAAGAAGCUGCAAUAUUGUCAUUUGCUUCAAAAAAUGACUGAAGCACAUUAACAAACUAAAAUUGCAUCGUUCUUUCUACCUUUUUCACUUUGACCCAAUAUAAAACAAACUUUGUAUUCUGAAAGUGAAAUAUUGAGCAAGGCAUGCACAAGAGAAAACCAAUACCACUGAAUGUGAAGGAAGCUUCUGCAGCCGUAAAGUCACUUCAGUAAUUACCCCUAAGGUCCCUUCGCUUCCAAUAAUCAAUCUUGUUAAGUCAUAUCUGGCAGACAAUAAAAAUGAUAUGCAACAGUACUUUCUUAGUUUGAUUUCAAAUAUUUAGAGAAACUCUUAGUUGGAUUUCAAAUAUUUAGAGAAAGGUUCCAUCAUACCCAGCAGCACUUUUUCGAGCACGGGAGCCGGUCUUGAUAACUUCACCAUUUGCCAAAACAACCUGCACUUCAGAUAACAUCUGAUAACAUACCCCAUCAAAUUAACAUAAACAAAAUUCAGAGAAUAUCAUCAACAUACCAGAAGAUUAAUGACAUUGUCCCGCAUUGUUCCAUACCUAAAAACUAAGAACUCAAUCAUCAAAACCGAUUAAUUAUCAUCCAACCCACCAAUAAAUGCACUAUAGGUAACUUUUCUAUCUUUGAAGCAAUAUUAAUAACAUUAAGGAAACUAAACUAACAGUUAAAAGAAGAUGGAGGGUACUACCUUACAGCUAAAGAUCCAGAACAACGGGUAGCACACAUUCCUCCAAUUGUGGCUCCAGGUCCUGCAUGUCAAAAAUACAAGCCUCACCAAGUAUACUGAAUACCAAGUACUUACAUCCUUAUUCGAUCUUUACAUCCUAUUCAUGUGAAUAUAACAACUCACACCAGGUCCUGCAUUAAUUCCCCUAUUCUGCAGGUACAUUUCUUCUUAAAAUAGAAAGUAUGUAAGCUCUCUUCCAAAAUAAUUAGAAUACUCUUAUUUAUCGGCUCAAGUUGAGCACGCUGCUUAUCCAAAAGCAAUACAUAUGUUUGACAAAGUUAUUUUCAAAGGUCUUAGGCGAGAUGAACAGAACAACAUGAGCUUUCCUUUCCACGUCAGCUUCUCAAAAAGAGGAAGCAGAGUACCUUUCUAAAUGGUACCAGGUGGAAGUCCUUGCAUUAUCAUGUUCUAUUACAGCAGUCAAAUAUCAAUCUAGGAACUUAUAUAGCUAAAAACCAAAUGAUAGUCAUAUGAUAGUCAAUGUUCUAGCUCCCUCUUCUGUAAUUAAAGUACGCAAGUGAAGGUUUGGAGACCUUCAAUAGGAACCAAGGUCUUUACUAAAUAGCUCAUUAGUUUAAACAUACUCUUGCAAUCAGGAAAGGCAUUUACACUGUUAAGUCUUCACCAAUCAUUAUAAAACAGCACCUUAGUGCUGCAAGUUGGCAAGAGUGCCCCACAUAUUAGCAUGUAACAGCUGAAUGGAAGAAAAGGAUCCAUGUAGCUUCCAAAUAGUUGGAAACAUGUAAGUCUAUGCGUUUUCUUGUUAAUAAGUUCAAUGAUGAAAAAGAUGAGAAGUGUUAAAUAUAAAAAAUAUAUAAACACCGUUCUCUAAUAGCUUAAGCUUUUAGAGUAUAACGGUUGUUUUAUAUGGUAUCAGAGCAGGAGGUCCUGAGUUCCGAGUCACGCCAGGCUCCUAACAUUUUUAAUUUUCUCUCAUUUAAUUCAAGUCCACGUCAUGGAUCUUGCGAAAAAAAAAAGAAGUCUCGAGCCCAGACGUGAGGGAGAGUGUUAAAUACAAAAAAUAUAUAAACAAUGUUCUCUAAUAGCUUAAACUUUUAGAGUACAACAGUUGUUUCACAAGAAGAAAAGGAAAAGACUAAAGUUCAUUCAGUGGGUUAUAGAAGGCACUCUAUCAGAAGAUGCAAAAAAUACACCCUAAUGGCUGAAAAUCAGCAUAGUGAAUUGUCGUGAUUUCAUUGGAAAUUAUGACACAUACAAAUUAGAAUAUAACAUAAGAUUGCCAACAACACAUAAUCAGAUAAGUAAUCCAUUAUCAGAUAAGUAAGCCAGUAAAAUUGAACCAAGAUUCACGGUGAUUCCACAUCACGCUAGAACUAAAUUAUCAAAAAAAAAAAAGACACUCACAGAUAAAUAGACCUUUGUAAAUAAUUGAGGAAAAUUUAAAACAAGAGUGAUAUUUUACUAGCCUGGAUCCAAAGGGAAGAAAAGACCAUAAGGCCUCAGAUACUCAUUUAGUUCAAUCCAUCCAAUCCCUGGUUCAACAACUACAUCCAUGUCCUCAACAUUCAAAGAUUUGAUUUUCUACAAUAGAAAGAGAAAAGAUGAAUGAAUGGAAAAUAUUUAAAAUCAAAAAAGAGAAUAGGUUUUAGGUAACAAUUCGAAAAAAACUGGUGUCUUCAAAGGAUAACUAAAAUGAAAAAAAAGAAAAAGAAUUGGCAUAAACUUCGACCAAAACAAGAAAGACCGAAAUAUAUGAAAAAAUGAAUUGGCAUACUAAUUUGCUGAAGCGUGAAAUAUUACGAAAGUAUCAUCAUAGCUGAGUGCUCAUCAAGAAGCUCUUUACAUAUGAAUCAUUCUACAAGCAAGUUAGAUCUCAGGCAUAAACUAGCAUUAUACUCCAAGACCUAGACAGUCAGGUUACACCCAAAAAAAGGUGAAAGAUGGAAUCAACCUAUAUGCACCAUUGCUCUAGCACAUCAAGGGACAAAAACCAACAGGAUCAAACAACAAAUAUUCCUCAUUUCAAAAGGGCAAAACACUAGUAUUCAACUUCUUUCUUGCAGAAACUUAUUGAAUUUAAAUCCUGUGCAGCUACUUGUAUUAUCUACAUGAAUAUGGUGCUUUGAGCCAUGAUUCUAGGUCUAAUAUAUGUUUCUUACCAAGGGGGAAUAUAACAAGGUAAUAUGGAAAAGUUGGAUAUUUCUUCUGUCCUUUGAGUAGUCACAUCAUAGGGCAUGGAAUCUAUAGAAAGAUUUGAGAUGCUUACUGUCAUCAAAGACAUGUCAAUGCACACACCACCCUGAGGAGCUAAAGUAUGGCCUUCGAUUGAUGUAGCUCCACCAUAUGGUACAAUAGGAACCUACCACCACAACAAAAUGAGUAAUCACUCAAAUUAGACUCUCCAAUCCAAUAGAGCAAAAGGUCAAAUGACAUUCUUGAAAAGUCAUAUGCAGAAUGGACCAACAUGUAGUUAGUGGAAACAAUUUAAAAUACUGUAUUCUUGUAGAAGUGAAGCUUUCUCAAGAAUGUUAAACAUUUUCCAAAACCCUUUGUUCUUUUUCUUCGACAAGAGAAAGACGACAUACCUUAUACUUGUUGCAAGCUGUCACAAUCUUCUGCACGUCAUCUUGUGUUCUGCAUUGCAUUUUGAGCACAUUUUUUGUAAGGGAAAAGGAACAUUAACUCAAGAUUCUCUAGUUCAGAAUGUCAAAAUGAACUACUUAUACCAAAAUAAUUGGUAAUUGGCAGUGGAAUUGAUUCUAAAACAGAUAAUAAAAGAAGAGAAUCAAUUAGCUAAUUGACUUCAUCAAUUACUUCUGUAUAAUCAAGUACAUGCCUUUUCACCGCAGGAUUGUACUGACGAAAUGGAGAAUAGAAGGUUAAAUAUAUCUCCAUGCCACACAUAUGGCAAGAGAUACAAUGAGUAAAAGAAUGAUUCUCUACAGGUGACUUAUCAUCGCCACGGCAGAUGACAUAUGAUCAGAGGCCAAAGAUCAAAGGCUACAGUAGACAAACAUCAAUGAUGUAAUUAAAUUCUACUAAGCUUUCAAUCUCCACAUUUGCAAUAUUAACCUUGGGGAAAAGAAAAAAUGAAACAACUUAAAAAAGCAUCUUGAGAAAUUUCGUGACAAAGGGUAUUCUUCUAUUAGUUUGUUAGUUUUGGUUAAAAAGCAGUACAUGGUAGUGGUUAACUGUCUGAAUUAUUAUAAGACAUAUCUUGGGUGAUCUUCUGAUGAUAAGAAAUGGGACCUCAAACCAUAUUAAUUGAAUUUGAUUAACAAACUAUCCAAACCUGCAAUAACAAGUCUCCUAAUUUUUCUUCAGAUGUUAAAGCUAAUGUAACCGGCCUUGUAACCGGCCUUGAUUUUAAGUUAAUUGAAUCCGGCUCACCAGUUUCUAAGAAUCCUCAGAUUAGACACAGAGAUCGAGAGACCACUUAUUUAUCGCCUUGGCAAUGGGAUAGUCAAGUUUGCACUAGUUCUACUCAAAAUCCAGGCACAAUUAGCCCAUUGCCUUGUAAUAUGUACUAUUUUCAUUUUAAGUCACGCAUUACUACCUACCUAGUAAAUGUUGUGAAUGAUGAAGCUAACAUUGCUAAAGUCACCUAGAGUUGCAACAUACAAAAAUCAAGUAAUACACCAAUGAAUGCAGGGGGUGAAAAAAUAAACGAAAAAUAAACAAAACACCUAGGAUAGACGACAACAUCCGGAACAUUCACAGCUUUGUGGAAGCUAUUCUGUGGCUUGCCAUGGAAGUACCUCUCUUCAUAGUCGAGUGUCAUGUUAUUCUACCAAUUAAUUAGUGAGAAAAAAAACAUUAAACCAAUACCAUCCAAUAGCCAAAUACUCAGCAAUGUGAGUCUAACUGAGAUAAUACUUGCAAAAUCUCUCGCAACUCUUCGAUGAACUCCUCCGGAAUCUCCUUGCGAGUACCUCGAACCACUAGAUCGGUGCUCCCUUUCCCAUCUAUGCUGCAUAGUUGAAGCAAAAGUAAAGUCACCAUCCGAUCGAGAGUUUGUUGAUGAGAGGUGAGAAAAGGGAGAUCAAAAGGAGGAAGGAUUCGAACCCAUGAUCGAGGCCGGCGUCGCAGAGGGAGGGAUCGGGGCGGAGAUCGACGGCGAGGGCUCCGGCGGAGGCGGCGACGGCGAGGGGAAGGAGCGCACGCGACCAUGAGAAGGCGAAGCCCUCCGUGGCGGAGCUCGGGGGCUCGGGGAGGGCGGAGAGGAGUCGGGGGAGGAGGAGAGGGGAGCGGAGAGCUCGGCGGAGGAAGGGGCGGGGUGAGGAGGAGGAGGCGAGGCGAGAGAGGAAGGUGGAGAACAAGCCCAUGGCGAUGGAUAGGAGAGAGGGGGAGGGGAGGGGAGGGGAGAGUGACUAGUAUAGUUUAUCUUCUUCUCGAGUGGCGUUUCUAACGAGUAACGAGCAGGCGAUGACGCGACCGCAUCGGCGCGAGGUCGCGAUAGCGGUGGUGGAUUGGAGGAGGAACCGAGGAAGUAUACUGCAGCUGCUACACUAUAUAUUAUCUAUUUUUUACUAAUUAAUUUUUAAAAAUACAGUAAAAAUAAUUUUUAAAAAUUAUAAUAAAAUAGAUGAAUCUUAAAAAUAAUUUAAUUAAUUGCAAACAACAUAUUAUUCUUUAUCACCGACACAUUUUAUAUAUUUUUGGGAUUAGCCUCCUCUAUCAUCCACUUGCAUUAGUCAUCACACAACUAACAAAAAAAUAAAAUAAAAAUAAAAAUAUAUAAAAUUUGUCUAACUUUGAGACAAUUAUUGACUAUCUAAUCUUUUAAAAUUUUAAUGUUACUGUCUAAUUUUUUUUAAGGAUAUUUUAGUUUUAAAAUUUAAAUUACUUAUUUACUUUAAUAAAUUUUAUAAUUAUAAAGAUUAUAUAAAGUAUAUUAAUUAAGUAUAUAAAAUAAAUAACAUAUUUAUAUUUGGAUGUUAGUUGAAUUCAAAUAAAAAAAAAAUAAAGAAAAAGAAAAAGUAAAAAACAGUCAUUAGGAGGUGCCCGCCCGUUCGGAUCCAAUUUCAAAACCACCGAAAGUCCUUCGUAAAGGCCGGGGCGGUCUGCUCCCAUCUCUCCGUUCGUCUCCGACCGCCCAACUGCAGAUGGAGGCGUCCAUCUCCGCCUUCUGCCGAUCCCUCUCCGCCUUCUGCCACCACGUCGAGAGCGCCUCCGACUCCCUCUCCGACUCCAUCCAGCGUCGUCCCAUCCCCCUCGGUAACCUCAUCCCAAACCAUUCUCAUCUCCCUCUUAUAUAUUCGUGUAUGCUCAUCCCCUUCUCUCUCUCCCCCUCUCUCUCUCUCUCUCUCUCUUCCUUAGAUUCCGCUGCCUCCGCCUUCUUGCAAUGCCUCGACCGCCGCGUCUCCGCCGCGAGCGCCGACCUCGACCUCCUCGAAUCCAUGGCGCUCGGCACCGUCUCCUUCGAGGAGCUCCUCGGCCACUGCAACGAGGUCUACAAGAUCAACCUCAAGUACAUCUCCGACCUCGAGGACCGCUUCGCCUCCUUCGGCUACGUUCCCGGUAACCGAUCGCAAUAUCGCAGCCGCCCGAACCCCUACCUGUUUGUGGUCUUCUUUUUAAUCGAUCUCGAAUUCUCGAUUGCUAGAGGUAGAGGUGGAAGACGAUGAGGGCGGCGAUGAGGAUUCUGGCGUUCUUUCCAAGUACAUGAGCCCUGAUAACGGCGUCGGUACGUCGCACUUUGCUUGCAGGAAACGGCUCAAUGACGAUUUUUUGUAUCCUUUUUUUGGUUCAUAAUUUUCUUCAUAAUUUUCUUCAAGUAGAAAUUUCUCUCAUUCUAAUGCAGUAUAGUAGCUUAUUUUUGGAAUAAUUGUAGAUCUGAGAUCUUAGAAUGCGAAGUGUGUCAAGCUUUACAGUUGUGGCACGCCUGUUUGUAUUUAGUACCUAAAGAUACAAUCGUUUUUGUAGCUAGAAAGUUAUGAUUCCUCGCAAUGAGUUAUGGUCUCGCAAUUCAUGGGAGUUCUUAUUAUGCAAUUGCACUGCCGUAUCGAUGUAUCAUGAAUCUUGAUCCUCCCUUUACUUGCCUUCGUCUUCUUUAUUUUUGAACGCUUGCUGUUUACGAGUGCUCAAUAUUCUCAAUGAGUCUGCAUCAAGAAUAGCAUGAAUUCAUUUCAACCCCAUAGUUUUUGGUUCACCAAAAUUUUCGAUUUACACUACCUUGGUUUACAGUGCAGCUUAAUGUAUAUUACAUCUGAAAUGGCAGCAUAUAUUUGCAGCAUUUAUGUGUCUUUCCCUGACUAUCGGUAAGGUUCGAGGACUCUGUUUCACUGCGAAAUCUUGGAUUUUCAGAUGCUUGCCUGGCCACUCUAGCCUCCGAAGGUUUGACACAUUUCUGGAUAACUGUAUUUCUCACAGCAGGCUACUAGAGUGCUAAAACUUGUAAAUUCUUGCUCAGAAUAUAUUCUGAUUAAGAUGAUAGCAUCAAUAUGGUCUCUUUUAAGUGGUAACAAAUCAUGAACGGCCUUCUCCAAUAUUCUGAAUUUCGAGCCUUAAGUAGCACAAUUUGAUAGCCUCGUAUAGGGAAAUUCCAAGUGCAAUGAGAAACUUACCACAGAAAAGGACUUAAGAAUACCUGUUAUGUGUGAGACAACCAAGUAGCUAGUUUUGGCUGUUUUGAUGCUUUGUUAUUGUGUAAUUGUUGCGACUUAGCAUUCCUGGUGUCAACAGUUGUGUGAGUGCUAUCUGAAGGUUAGACCAUGGAUCUAAUGGCUGCUGAGGAUAAUAUUGGAUGUCAACAAGCCGAUAGAGUUGUGGCUUCCGGAAAUAGCCUUAAGAGGAGAAUAAGAGGCUCGGUUAUUGAUGAAUUCUUCCCUAUAUUAGCUUUUUGGAACUAGGACUUCUUUGUCCCAAAAGCAUUUUUCCAUGCUGCACUUGCAUAAAUAACUUGAACAUGCCUUAUUAAUGUACUUCAAAGGUCUGCUGAUCUACUCAGAGUGGCCAACUGAGUGAAGAGGAAAGGAUGAGUGAAAAGGCUGUCUAAACUCUAAAGGUGUUAUCUAUAAACAUGUCGCUACUGGAUACUACAACAUUUGUUUAUUUUUGAUAAAACUGUAGUAUUGCAUGUAUUGUUUGUUUCUUAGUUGUUGAAUUGUAAUAUUUCUUUGUCAAAACAUCAUUUUAUAACUUAUGGAAAGUCUUGUCAGGUGACGAGCGUGAUGCAACUCUGAAGAAAUUUUCAGAGCUGGAUAUGAGGUAUUGUUGGCAAAGUUUCUUUUUUUUUUUUAAAUUUUUGAAUCAUAUUUUCCUCAUCCAUUACUUAAUAGUUUGUUGAUGAUUUCGCUUAGUGAUGAUGAGGGCCAACCACAUGAAAAGAUAACCUUCUCUCAACUUACGAAGGAUGUUCUAAAUACCCAAGGUGCUAUAUAAUUUGUCUGUUUGGGAUUACGUUGUGAUCAACUAACAAGUUUAAUCUCUUUGUUUGGCUACUGAUUUUGCUAUGUGCUAUUGAUAAGAUGGAAGUGCUACGAACUCAGUUAUAAAGGUGUCCAAGGAUGACUAUGAUAAUCUUCCUUCCUAUAUGAAAACUCUAGCUUCCUGGGAGGUAUGUAUAUCAUCAUGCACUAGCAACACAAUGUUUAAUGUCUCGUACAUGAAACAAAAUUUAUUGUGUUAUUUUUAAAGUGAAUUUUAUUCCUCAGGCAUAGUAACAACUGUUAAUCUGCAUAUGCAUUGUAGUAACCUUGCUACAGUAGCAUAAAGGUUGCACAGAACAUCAACUUUUGUAUGCUGCUUAUAAAUUUCUAGCAUAUUGACUAAGCAACACAUUGACUUCCCUAAUUUUCUCGAGUCCUUCUACCUCUUUCUUAUUCCAAAUAUCGGGAAAGUGGUUCCAAGUAUGUGACAUAAGGAUGUGCAGGCCCUGAGGUUGUGCACCAACUUUUUAUUCGAAGAAGUAAUUUAACAAUAACCUAUACUCUGAUACCAUGUGUUGCCGAAGUGAUAGUUUCUCUUGAAUCUUGACGUACCAUCAUGUGCUACAUGUUUCAUCAUUGUGCGGGCCGCACCGCUUGUAUUCUCUAGGUGGAGGUUCCCCAAAAAACGUGGAAUUGGGUGGUUGCAUGUGCAGUUGCACGCGCAACCGAACAUUCCAAAAGGGCCUCUGCGAUUGAAUGCUGCAAAGCUUUGUGCAAUGCGAUGGCCAAACACCUACUGUAUCUAUCUACCUUCUGAGAAUUCCCAUUGCAGUUGGCAGUAAUACUUCAUCUUUUAAGUUUUAACUAUUCAACUUCAUUAAUGUUUAUGUGCUCUCUAUUCACUACUAUGCUACUUGCUGAAUGCCCCAUCUACCACCUGCAAUUUCGUAUAAUAUUGCAGAAAAACAGCGUUUGGUUUAAAUAUUGGCUUGUAAGUUAAUUUGUCUGACUCUUGAUGGAUCUUGGUACUUUGUUAUAUUCACUUGUUAUUUGAUGUAAGCUAGAGUACCAGGAGAAUUUAACUAUUUAUUGCCUAUUUGCAUUUCUUCUUGACUAGUUUAUAUCAAAUAUUCUUAUGCUAAUUAUUGCGUCCUUGUCACAGGAGUUGCAGGACGCCGUUGUAAAGUUGAAUUCAUACUUCUGCAAAGACAGAAGUGAGGGAAGUGAUAAACUUAACCAGGAUGAUACUGAAAAAAUAGGGCUAGGUGAGUGAAUUUAUAAAACUGGUUGCCUCCGCAUUUUGUGAGAUCUUGCUCUUUUUCUGUGUCCCGUUUACAAAUCACUUGUGACUGACCACAACUACAAGUAAUACUACCUCAAGCGGAAGUUGGAACUUUGCAUAUGACAUAAAGGAAAUUAGUAUAAUCUAAACAACUGCGAAUCUGCAACAUCUUGUCCAUCUUAUGCGUUGCCAUUACAGUGAUUUAGAUGCUGGUUUGUUCUUGUUGCAGGGCGCAAGGGACGGUCUUAUCUGUUAGUACUCUUACGGAUGAAUCAGUUAACUAUGGAGAACAUUGAUGGUUCCAUUUUCUAUCACACGUGCGUCAACUGAUCCGCCUAAUAAUGUCCUGCAUACCUGAAGCAUAUUCUCUACAUAGAAGGCUAUACAAACCCAAAAGGAUGGCUAUGUGAAGCUUUUUCUUUGCCUCAUUCUCAGUUUCAAGAUGAAUGAUGGCACCAUAUCUUGUGUGAAUUUAUGCACCAGGUCAGGGAGUAGCUAUUUGUGAAAGUCUUUUGAUUUUACUUCAGACCAGUAAUUGUAAUUCACUAAAAGUUGUUUUAACCCUCUAGAAUCUAGUGUAACUUUCCCUGAUCAUCUCCAAAUGCUAAAUGACGGAGGCGAGCGAGGACUUGAAGCUAGUCAAUGUAAUUAUCGUGUUUCUGUACAUCGGUUUUCUUGCUAAAAUUGAUUGCCUUCUCUGCUUCUGCCUAUUCAUACAAUGAGCUGCAGGAAGUGAGAUUCAUGUGGGGGAAACAGUCGAGGAAUGAUUUUCAAAAUAUUAUGUAACUCGUGUCUCACUAACAACACAUCCGUAAAAAGAGUUACAAAUAUCAAAAUCAGAUGAUAAAAUUAAAACUUUUAAAGUUUGCUUGCCUAUUUAAGCUUUGUCAGUGAAAUUAGAAUUUAUGUUUUUAUUUUUACAAAUACGUGACAUUUUUAAGAAUUAUAAAUUUUGAGAGGUCGAAUUCAAAUUAGCCAUAUAGCUGAGGGGGUCCCCGUACAUUUUGUUUUUUUGUUUUUUUUUUUUUGAAAGAUAGAUAGCAUAUUAUCGAUUCGUUUAUUUCAUUUAGAAAUAGCCUUAACUGAAAAUAUAAAUCAACUAAAAUUCAAAUUUGGAAUCUCAAAUAUCAGCCACCAAAUUUAAAUUUAGAAUCUUGAAUAUCAACCACCAAAUUUUUUAUUAUUUGCACUAGCGACCGUCGGUGUCCCCGUACAUUUUGUUACCAAUCGAAGUAGGGGAAUGACUAGUAUUUGGAUUGGAUAGCGUCGUUGGCGGUGCUCCGAACUCCGAAGAGGAUCAAAGACCCAGAGCAUCACCGGAGGCGCGAUGGUCUCCUACGCGGGCGUGGGCUCGCUCCUCCCGAGACUCGGGUGGAUGCGGAUGCGGCGGCCCCCCAAUCCGAAUCCGCGGUCGAGGUGGCCGACGCGGACGACGACGACGACGACGAGGAGGAGGAGUCGCUCUUUUUCCUCCUCCUCGCCUCUCCGCGCCGCUCUCGAUUCCCCCGACGUCUCCCUCCUCGCCGACGCCGCGCGCAUCUCCCUCUCCCCCAACGAAGUAUCCACUCUCUCUCUCUCUCUCUUUCUCUCUCUCUCUCUCUCUCUCUCUCUCUCUCUCUGGGGGUUGUGUUUUAGGGUUUAGGGCAAAAUCAUGGCAAUUUCCCCAAUUUUGUCCAUGGCAGGUUCGAGAAUUCGAGCCCAAGAUUAUGCAGGUCAUUGACUGGUAAUUCCAUUCUCUCUCUCUCUCUCUCUCUCUCUCUAAACCCACUACUGUUGCUAUCUUGUGCUGCUUUGGAGCUGGUGCUUGAAUUUGGAUUGAUGUUGUUGUAAUUCGACACUAGAUCUAAAUUUAGUGAAAGUGGGAGCUCCGACGCCGUGAAGAUCCGCUGCCGCCUAUUCGUGGGCUUAGCUCGUUAAAAGGAGCUUCCCUGAAAAGGUUCAGAGUUUUUGUGGAAAAAGAUUGAAAAUGUAGCCCACGGCUGGACGGCGUGGUUGUGAUCGAAUACGCGGUUGCAGUUAUUCCAAUCCAAAUGCGCCCUUAAUUGAAUGUCAUGUAUGUUAUGCUUCUCGGUUCAGAUGGUGAGUUUAAAGUAAGCGGUCACGCGAUUGUGUUUGUGGAAUUGUAUUAGUAUCACGUGCUCUUACAUUCCUUUUCUUUGUUCAGAUCAGUAAUAGCUCUGCUGCUAUUAUUCCUGAAGCAUACAUCUUUUCUGGCUUUGAGUCCUUAUUAUUUCACUUUCAUGUUCAGCAAGUAGAGUAUCAAUGUGAUUUACAUCUACAUUCCAUUAAUAUCAAUAGCUGGAGAAAUUAGUGUGAAUAGAAACAUGGCUUGAAUAUUGUACAUUAUUCUAAACAAGGAUUCAAAACCAAUAGGGCAGCAAUUUAAGGGCGAGAAAGAGAAAAAAAUAUAAUCAGAAGGAUAGAAAUGAUCGUAUGUUAAGAUUCAACUAAGAAUUGCGGCACUUAAUUACUACAUCUCGUCAUAUACCUUGAUGUUUAGAAAAAAAUUUGGUGGUUGAUUGAGGCCCAAAAGGUACUCAUUUGGAGUACUCGAUUGAGGUUCAGGAAUCUGAAUUUCCUCGUGGAGAGUAUUAAUAAUAUUAUAUAUAAGAAGAUUAUACGGGGAGAGGUCCACAUAAUUCUCUAUUGAGUGUACAAAUGAGAUCAAGAACUUAAUGUGCACUUAUGUUCUACUACCUUCUUUGUUCUAACCUUUUGCAUCCAUCCUAUAACAGUAUAUUAUGAAAGAUAGAUCAAUUUAUUUAAUUGCUCUUUUACUUGAUAAUAGGUUUGGGCAACUCCAGGCUGUUGAUCUUGAGAGUAUCGAACCUUCACUUCGAGCUAGUAUGUAUAAGAUUUUUAUUGAAUUUAUCAUGUUCAUGCCGGUGAUUUUUCACUUUACCAUUGAAUCAGCAUUCAUGUAUGUUUGUCCGGAGUCCAACCUCUGCCUGUGUUGAAAGGUCUAUAUCAUGAAUCUCAUAUGAGAAAUAUUUCAAAUUCGAUGUGAUUAUAAGUGUUUAAAAUUUGAGAAGGGUUAUCUAGUAUAUGCUGUUUCUACGGCACUGAAAUUCGUCCUUUAUUGCAUGAGAAUUUUAGCAGUAAUAUAUUGCAUCAGCAGUUUCAGCCUGAUCCUUGUAAUUGUCUUCUUAAAUUACAUCUUAUGAAGUAUUUUACGUUCAAUGCACUGUUCGUCAUCUACACUACUUAACUAUGACUGAAUGAAUUGGUUUCCGUGAUCAGAUACUGAAGUAGAUGCCCGUACAAGAGAAGAUGCGCCAGAAGCAUUUGAUAACAGGUUGUAAAAAGUCAUGCUUUAAGACCACACUCCAUUUUAGGGUCUAAUAUUUUCCCUUUAUAGUCAACAAAACCUAAAUAUUUGUUUUGUAUGAACACAGGGAGGCCAUAAUAGCAGCUGUUCCGAGUUACGAGGAUCCAUACAUCAAAGUUCCAAGAGUAUUGAACAAGGAAUGAAGUUUUAGAUUUAAAUAGUUUGAUUGGCGUCAUGAGUGGGAAUUCUUGUGCAGGUUUUUGUCUACGACUACUAUUCCAUUGUCACGUAAACUAAAUGUAGCUGUUACUGGGAAUGUAAUAUUGGCGACUAUUUCACUCUAAACUAUUAAUAGGAGCAUUAUGUAGUAAAUUUUUCGAUCUGUUUUAAGUCCUUGCUCCAAAAUCAUAACCUUUAUAGUGGCAAUUUUGCAUAAAUUUUUUACGUCUCCGGAAGCCAAAAAGUAACUGAGAAGUGGUUCAUUUUUUGUAAUUUUUUAUUUCCAGUUAAAAUAAGGAGCAUUACCUUCCCUAACACUCCGAACUCAAAAGUUUUAGGGAACAUUUGACAAAAAUGAACGUUUGUGAAAGUUGUCCUUUUGAUAUUUACAAAUUCUGUGAUGUCAUAAUAAUUCAAAGGAAUUGUACAACAAAUGUCACAAGCAAUACAUUUAUCAAAUUUUAUUGAAUUUUUUCGCUACAAGAAACAAUGAAAUUUAAAGAAACUUGCUUAGUUGAUCAGUGGUCCCAAUAAAUCUUUACCAAUAAUCAAGGCAUGAACAUUUCCCUUCCAUAAAAUGGUGAAACCUGCUCCCAUCUCUCACAAUAAUCUCCCUACCCAAAACCUUAGUAACCAUCUUACUAAACUCAUGACAAUCCCCACACACCCUCAAAUUUUUCACAAUUCUUAUGGGCUUUGAUACCUCAGUCACCAUCAACCCAAAAGCAAUAGCCAACCUCUCACUAUGCUCCUUUAUAACAUGCACUUUUUCCUCAUCCCCUAUAUCAUGCAAAACUGAAGAAACAUCAGGAGAAUAACCUGCCUCAGCUAAUCUCCUAUCAACCAUUUCAAGUCUUUUGUAGAUUCCAAAGCAGUCCUUGUGUUCUUUAUCCCCUGCCACAAAUUUAUGCACACAACCAUAGGCCUCUAUCAAGCUCCAACCUGCGACCUUAUUCGUCCCACGAUCAACCAUUAACCUUCGAACCUUACUAACAUCCUCCCAUUUUCUCCCCCUUGCGUAGAUGCUAGCUAGAAGAACGUAAUGGCCGUCGUGGGUCGGUUCUAGUUCAAUGAGUUUGUUCCCUAUAGUGACCCCUAAGUCUAUCAAUCCAUGCAUCUUGCAUGCUCCCAACAAGGUGCCCCAUAGUACCGGGUCGGGUGGAGUACUCAUCCCUUCAAUCAAUUCGAGGGCUUCGGGGACUAACCCAGCACGGCCCAAAAGAUCGACCAUGCAACCAUAAUGCUCCACCUCGGGCUCAAUGUUGUAUUCUUCUACCAUUGAUUUGAAAAAGUUUCGGCCUUCGGUGACUAAUCCGGCACGGCUACAUGCAUUUAGAACCCCCACAAAUGUCACAUUCGUGGGUCGAAGCCCUUCGCCGAUGAACUGUUGGAAGAGCUCCAGUGUCUCCUUUGCAAGUCCAUGUAUGGCCAAACCACAUAUCAUAGCAUUCCAGGCAAACACAUCUCUCUGCGGCAAAUCAUCAAACAAGCGCCGCGAGAUCGCGAUGCAUCCGCAUUUCGCAUACAUGUCGACCAGUGCUGUGCCGAGCGCCAUGGUUAUGGGGAAAUUGACCUUCCUUACAGUGUCGUGAAUGAAUUGGCCAUUCUCGAGCAAACCCAGCUGCGCUGAAGCCGAGAGGGCCGUCACCAAUAUAGCCUCGUUCACCAUUAAUCCUCUCCUCGUCAUCUCCCUAAAUAACCGCAGCCCCUUCUCCAAGAUACCGUUUUGGACAUAGCCCAUGAUCAUCGUGCUCCAAGAGAUCACAUCCCUCUGAGGCAUUUCGUCGAACACCUCCUCCGCAGCGCUCAUGCGGCCCGACCUCGCGUACCCUGCCAAUAUCGCGUUCCACGUCACCACAUCACGCGAUCGUGGCCAUUCAUCGAAGACCCUCCGCGAGCUAGUUAUCUCCCCACACGAGCCGUAGAAGUGGAUCAACGCGUUCCUCACGUACAGAUCCCCAUCGAGCCCGAGCCGCACCGCGUGGGCGUGGACCUGGGCGCCCUCGCGGAGGAGCGCGGGGGCGACGCUACACGCUUGGAGGAGGAAGGGGAAGGUGUAGUUGUUGCUGGGGACGCCGAGCCUCCGCGCGCGGCUGUAGAAGGCGAGGGCCUCGCGGGACGCGGUGCGGCUCCGUGCGAAGCACCGGAUGAGGUUGUUCGCGGCGAAGGCGGUGGGGCGGUCGAUGGAGGCGAAGACGGCGCGCGCGUAGACGAGCGCGGCGGGCGCUGCGGCGACUACGGCGGCGGCGGCGGCGGCGAGGAGGAGGCGCGCGGCCGCGGCGCGGGAGGAGGCGAGGCCGAGGACGACUAGGCGCGCGUGGGCUUGGAGGAUGUGGGAGAGGGAGGGCUGGGUGGGGAGUCGGGAGAGGGUUUCGCGGAGGAGGUGGUGGGGGUCGAGGGUUGGAGAAGAGAGGGAGAGGGCGUGAGAGGGGCGUGAAGGGACGCGGAGGGGGAAAAGCGAGAACUCAAACCGCAUCAAAUGAGAAAUGGUGUGUGUGUUCAUACGCCAGGCUUUCCGUAUGGAAGAGGAGGAAGUAGUUUCGUAAUCGUGAAUCAGUGAGUUGAACCCGGUCCGGUCCGAUAAAAAAUAGACGGGUUCGAUUAGCUUCGGUUCGGUUUGGUUGGGCUAAAAUAUAACAUAGAAAAGGAAAGGAAAAAACAAAAGAAAGCUAAUCAAAUGAAGUGAAGACGUUGAAUCUAUUUGGCAAGGAAACUGGCCACCACAUAAUACAGAAGCUUAUCUUCAUAUAUUAUUACCUCAUCCAGGUCCAUGUUCAGAGUAACCACCUCACCGACUAUGCCUCUCGCGACUGUUUCGUCCUCUGCCGUCUCGUCUCCGCCGCCGUUGCCACAACCGAACCGCUUUCGAGCCCGACGGCCAAGCCUAGUCGUAGUUUGUUGCAAAUUGGGUUCAGUGAAUGCCGCAGAGAGCGGUGGAAAAGACGAGCUGACAAUAGGGUCUCCGAUCAUCGUGGUUGUGGCUCCGCCGACGCUGAAGACGGCGAGCUCCAUGCCGUCGCUGAGGGUCAACUCCGGGCUGGUCAAGCCCGGCGAUGUAGGAAGGUAUGUUAAAAACAACCUUACUGUUUGUUGUAAGGUGUUUUAACCCACACUCAAUGCUAAACUUUUCUUCUGAAAUAUUUCUCUUUGUACCUAUGGGGCAACAGAUAGAUGUUUAGCAUCAGCAGAGUUUCCUGAAGCCCUGAACACAAACCACAAACUUACAAUUACUGCGCUCUGCCUCUUCCCUUUUUUUGGUUUUCCUUUUCCUCUUCUUUUCCUGAUCGUACUGCCAGUAUACAUGCUCUGUUUUUGAUAAUUGAUGCAGUAAGAGAAAUAUUACAUACACUCAAAUUUUAGAACAGGUGCUGAUACAUGAUACUGCAGAAUUGUGGCAAGGAAGCCUAAAGACGUCUGGGCCGUCCGCCUCGCGAUUGGUACAUACCUCAUUGAUGGCAAGCACUUCAAGCCCUUGGAUGUCGACGAAUGAGCAAGAUACAGGAUGGUCCCAAAGACAAAGAUUCGCGCACAAGUUGCAGUUUUCACUUUGUGUUCACUAAAUUGGCACAUCUGAAAAUUUUGUAACCAUCAGUAUAUAAGAAAUAUAAGGCAGGUUUUUUUAAUCAAAAGGUUUCACAGCAAUUGCAACAGGUCAAUCUGCUCAUUCUCUGCCUAGGAACAUUAGCAGCUUUCAUUAAUUAUGAUGCAGAAUAUAAAACUAAACAUAGAAAACAGAUAUUACAUCAAAUUGCUCCAAGUGGAACUUAGAUAUCUGCAGUUCUUGUUUUCCAGUCUGCAAAGACCAGUAAGGCAACGGUAGGAAAGGCGGUAGUGAAAACCUUUUGCCCGCUGUAGUUUCAAACCUGCAGAAAUUUUAAGUUCUGGAAAUAGGGGAAAGAGCAAGAAACAAAGAAUGCGCCUCAACUCGUCUAGAGAAACAAAAAUGAUCGCAUAACACACGCAGAGUUUACCUUACAAAUAAAAUAGCAUCCGAUAUGCUUCCACAAAUGAGUCAAACGACGAAAGGAAAGAAAGACCAGUGAGAAGAAACAACAAUACACCAUAAAGCUCCUAUUUUUAGGAAACAAACAAAUAUAUAUUGCACAUAAGAAGGAACAUUUUAUUGUAUAGGUAUGAUUUACAGCUGGCCCAAGCUAUCCACCCUUGCUCCAUGGCUUUAAGACGGCCACCACAAUGAUCACGACAAUUAGGAGAAGGAUAAUGAUGGCUAUGCACAUCCACUUGCGAGAAUUCUUUUGCAGCUUCUUCGCCUUCUGGAGAGCGACUGUGCCAUUUUGCACAUGGUCGAUGGCACUAGAGACCUUCAAAGGAGAAGGCAUAGAAAAGUAUAUACAAAGUUAAGUAGAUGCACAACAAUUUGAAGGCAUAGAAAAGAUACUAACAUGCAUUACAUGCUAAUUCUUACCUGGGAUUCGAUGUUAUCCAGCAUAUCUCCUUGAGCCUCAACCAAGACCGCCAUAUCGAGAAAUAUCUACAUCGGAAUUCAAAAAAAGGGUAAUAGUAGGACACAAAAUGCUCAAAGUAAAAUUAUAUCUACACCUUGAAGAGCAUUAACAAAAGAAAAAACAACCAUCUAGAGAGGAGCGUUUAGCCAUAGGUCAUAAAUAAGAUUAUGGAGUAAAUGCAUAGUAAUGACAAGAGACAGGUUGGGUCCAAUCAUUUUAUUACUAAUCAAAAUAUGUACUUGCGAAGCAAUCAUUUUAUUACAAACUUUAGUUCCAAAAAUGUUCCUUUGAUACCUCAAGAUUCCUCGAGUCAUGAUUAUAGUUAGUUAUUCACCUAAAAAUUUCAAAGUUUGCAUGAACAGACCUACCUGUUGCAGUUCAAGAAGCUUUCUCUCUAAUUCCCUUACAGUGUCAUGACGUUCCUGUAUUUCGGCUAAGGUGUCCAUUACCUGCAUUAAACCAAAAUGGGUAUAUCAUUUGUAUCUAGAUGUAUAGAUUGAGAUUCGGAAUGACUAAACAUGAGAAAAUUGUUCAUAUCAAAGAAGUCUUAAUCAGUCAAUAUUCACAAAGAGAAAUGCAAUCAAACAAAAACAAACCUGACCACGUCCUUGAAUAGCAUUCUGAAAGAUCUGUUCACUAUUUCCUGUCUCUAUCAAUUGGUCGAUAGUCUGUAUGCCAAAAUUUCAAAAAUAAUGAAUUAUAAAAGUUCAAUUAAAAUCUCAACUGUUUAAAUAUUAGCAUGGGAAUGAGCCUACCUCUUCGUCAGCUCGAGUGCCAGUUACUGUCAAUGACCAAUUGAAAGAUGAACAGAAAGAAAAAGAAAAAAGUCAACCUUACUAGGAAUGGAAGAAACAGUGAAUUCUAAAUAAUACAAUGAUUCUUUUCAUCUUGAAACAAAAACAGACCUGUAAAGACUCUUCUUUCAACAACUUCUCUGUAUUCUUGAUGGAUGGUUUCCCUUAGAGACUGCACACCAAAUUAAGCAAAUUAUAAUUUAUUAAACAAACAUUUACUCUAUUAAAAGACAGUGGCAUCUAACAUCAUUAUCAUUAGUGUGUCUUCCAUUAUUAAAAUUAGAGUGUCUUCUGUCAGUUUCUCCCGUUCUUACAUGACACCUCUGUAUUGUCAAAUUCAUCUUUUUAUUGUUCCCUAUUUCCUGUUGAAUCACAAUAUGGAUUUCCUUCUUCUCAACUACCUUGUGCCAUGUAUACUUUCCCUUCUUGAUUGUUGCUAUUAUUCAAAAAAAUUGUUUAACUAGUUCGCAUUAAUUUGUCUGCAGCCCGCAUCAAAAUUGCUAAAUAAGCUAGUAAAGAAAAAUCAAUUAUUCACUUUGAUAUAUUGUUUUACCUUCUCUCUUAUAGAAGGCAACUAAAUGUUUAAAAUUACAAUAGAAUGCAGUAGGCAUAAAUUAAGAAACCAUGAAUAAGACCAACCCAUACACCCUAACCCGAUUAAUUGAAACCAGUUAAAUUGUUUUCUUGAAAUCAUUGAAUGGAGAUAUUACCUGAAAAUCAUCCAUCCUCUCUUUUAGUUUCUUCUUCAAUGCUCUGCAGACCAUCAAAAAUGUGAUCUCAUAAGGUUAUUGUAAUAAAAGAAAGGAAAAAAAAGAAAAAGAAAAGCAGAAUGAGGUAAACCAGAAUGUAACUUACACAGUAUUUGACGUUCGCAAACGAUCUACAGUUGAACCCUUGCCACAUCCUUGCUUUUGUCUAUUGCUUAAAUUCUGCUUAAGAAAACAUGAGUGAAGUUUGUGUGAUUAAAUUCAUAAGUUGGAGGCUUGAAAGGUCAUGGGGCUCACAUUCACUCAUGUCAGAAAAAGAAAAGAAGAGAAAGAAUGUUGGAUUUUAUAUUAUAGCAUUUUCAUAAAGAAACCAGUAACAUAUAAAGAGAUAACAAAAAAAGGCUAUCCAAAUAGAGGAUUUUAAGCAGCAAAAAUUAAGCUUCUCAUAUUACGUCGUUAAACGCUCAGGCAAUUCGAUGAGAAGUUAAAAGAAAAUUUCCUUUUAUAGAUAACAGGAAGGAAAUAUGAAACACUCAACUCUACAAAAACCAAGAAAGACAAAAUCUAAAGACAAAUGAAACUUGACCAUUAAGAACAAGUUAAACCCAUAAUUCAACGAAAAAAAAAUAUCAUACAAACUGCUAUUCAGUUAACCUCACAGGCAUAGAAAAGUUGAAUCUUUUCUAUGUUGCCACUCAGUUCAACUUCCAGACACUUUGAAUCUGCAUUUUCAAAAACUUGAGAAGAGUCUUGAAAAGUCCUUUACUAUGUUGUAACUACUCUAAAACUUAUGUGAUUAGAUUUAAAAGUUAAAAAACAUACAUCUUUGUCCAGCUCUUCAAGCUUUGACUUUGCUAGACGAGCAAUUUUACCCACUUCGUCAAUAUCUUUUUCCAUCCGCUGCUUGAUUGCUAAAAUCAAAGGCAUGCUUAACAGUGAUUAUUAUGUCAUAAAAUGGUCAGAUAAUUGUACAUACCAGAUAUGUAAAAAGAACAAAAGAAGAUAUGAAUUACAUGCAUAAUCAAAUUCACUUACCUUUCAUAGCAGCCGCCUUUGUAACAGCCUUCGACUCCUCAUUUGCAGUCUGCAAGCAAAGGCAGUAGGUUAAUUUCCAAAAUACAGCAUUAGCAUUGUAGGUUAAUUUCCAAAAAAGCAUUAGCAUCACUUCAACUGAAGAGAAAUUCACUAGAAAGUAGCAACUCCAGAACCAAAAGAGCAAUUGGGUAAACUAUAGUAGUUAUGCAAGCAAAUUCUGGUAAGAUGGUGAUCGAAUAAUUGGAUGCCCCAUAUUCCCAGUCAUGCCGCUGUGGCACUCCGCCUAAUGCUAGACUCAACAAAGUGUUUCUGAUGCAUACUUCCAUAAAAGGAAAUUAUAAGCAAAGUGUUUCUGAUGUAUACCUGUAAUUUCUUCAACAGCUUAGAGAGCUUGUCAAUUUGUUUCUCUAUCUCUUGAACCUAAAGAAAAAGAGAGAAUUAUUGAGCGAAUAGAAGAGGUGAUAUUUGUGUAUAAUGCAUCAGACAUAUUUAAAACCUGCUUGAAGAAAUCAUCCAGUCCUAAUUCUGCAGUAUUUUGUUGGGCCUGCCCUAAUUCAAUGUCUCCGCCUCUUGACGUCUGGCCUCGAGGGAGCUCGAAGGAAUCCUGCCAAUCGAUAAAGUUUAUAAAGAAGGAUACAACAUAUAUGAGUAUAUUGAAGUUAUUCUGUGAGAAGAAGACAACAUAUGAUUUCAAACAUCCAUAAAGAUUCUUUCCAUUUGGUGAUAUUUACAGAGCACCAUAACGCCCCACCAAUAGGAACGAAGAAAAUUAUCUACAACAUCAUGCAAUGCGAAGGAUUUAUGCUUAAGCAACUCAUGGAUCAUUGCUCAAGUGACAGUGUGAUACUUCUAUCACUUCAAUUAUAAUAGCAGUUAAAAAAAAAAGCAGGCAGGCUUCUGCAAUUGAUAAUCAUCCAGAAGUACGAUUUAAAUCAGCUGAUAAAUGUGCUUGCAUGACGUUUCCCUCUGGAGAGAAUAAUUUUUCCCAUUGACUGAUUAGAUUAAAUCCACAUAAAACUGUCAAAUGCAUUGCUCGUUUUCUUGUAUUCUUGCCAAACCUCAAAAGUAUUGCUUUUUUUUUUUCCGAUAAAUCCAUCACCGGUAGAGAUUAUUCUGCAUGGAAAUCGAGCAUCCUGAAGUCUAAAAACAUUGUCAGAACAGAAAAAAGAUAAGUUUUAUGGGCUCAUAAGAAGAUUCCAUUAAAUCAAAGGAAUUGCCGAUCAAGCAUUCUUGAAAUUAAAGGCCGCGAGAAGUUAUAAUAUUAGGUUUAUUCACAAAAAUAAUUCCAUCAGUCCUCAUCAAGUACUCCGUUGUUCCAGAUUUUAAAGAAGCCACGAAAACAGGGCCAUAGAACACUAAAAGUUCACGAAUUAGACAAUAUACUCUUUUUUGUUUGUUGUCCCACAUGCGAUUCACCCAGCGAUCUUUUCUUGUUCUUAAAUCAAAACUUUCCCAUCCCACUAUUACUCACAUGAUCUCACCAUAUCCCCUUACGAGUUAAGCUAAAUCAAAGUUAAAAGACUCUUCAAUCGGAGACUAAAUCCAGUAACAACAGUGCAUCUCUUUCCCAAACUCCGCUACUUUACAUAGCUCAAAUACUAAUCAAUCCCCCAAAACACCAUCACACAGCAAAAUGACGCGGAAAUCCCACAAUCUACUCACCAUUACAAUCAAACACCAGCGCAUGAUCAACAAGAAACAUGAAAGCAUCACAAAAACCAAAAUAAAUCGAAUCAAACACUUAGGGGCAACGAUUCAUGGGUCGAUGAAGUUACCGUUAGGAGAUUAUUCAUCUUCGAGGUGGCGAGAUCUCAACCGGGGUAGAUCGGAAUGACGAGAUCCCAAACUCGGAUCUCCGGAUCGAAUUGAAUCCGAGGAAUCGACGAAGAGAUCGACGCGGCUUCUUGGACACGGAAGCGGCAAAGAGAAGGGGUUUCCAACUGGGGAAGGAGCGGAGAGAGAGAGAGAGAGAGGAGAGAGAAAAGUGGGCUUCUUUCGCCGCAGGAUGAGAGAGAGAGAGAGAGAGAGAGAGAGAGCGCUCCGAACGGGAGAGAGGAGUGAUUAAGUUGUUACCUCGCAUCGACGUAUAUUAACCGGAGCCCUAAAAUAAUUAUUUCGGAGGGUGGGAGUGGUGAUGUUAUUGCGUAGACCGUGGUCCACCGUGGACCGGUCUCUGAAACUCAAUGCUUUUUUUGAGAGAGAGGUAGCACGCUACCCGCUUCGUUUAUUUCAUUUAGAAAUAAACUUAGCUAGAAAUAUGAAUCAACUAGGAUUUUUAUGUACUUAUAUACUUUUUAAAGGUGAUUUUUCAUUCCUAUACUUUUUGAUAUAAUCGCUUUAAUUUCUAUACUUUGAAGUACAUAUAACACUAUAAUCUUUGAUCAUACGAAAGAAUUUAAGUUAGUUUGAUUAUAAAAAAAAAAAUUCUUGUUUGAAGCAAACUAAAACCAUAGUCACUUUACAACUGCAGUAAUAAAAUGGCCAUCUUACAAAAAAAACUAUUUUUUUAUGAUUAGAAAACAUGUUGUAAUAUAUGAAAUUUAGACUCUUUAAAAUGGUUAAGUGAGAAGUACAAGAGCCAAGCCACAAUAUUGGACUAUUAGACAAAUUACUUUAAUAGUUUAUCUAUUUACAAAAUUAUAAUAUUCUAUGUAUAAAUUUAUUUAGAUAUUAUAAAUUGCAUCAGACAGUUAAAAAAAAUAUGAGCAAGUACAUAAAUUAGUUUGUUUUGGAGCCUGUUAGUUUUGGAUUGCAGAAGAUGCACCUAGUAAUUAAAAUUCUAUGAUAAUGUUUUCCACAUUAAAAUCUAAUUUAUUAAAUAUAUUAUGUAACAUUCAAUAAUUUUAUAUAUACAAAUUAUAAAUUUUGAUGUAUGAGAAUAUUUACAUCUCAUAAAUUAAAUAAUUGUGCUUUCUCCAUCAUUCGUUAUUAAGUUACUUGAUGUCUUAAUAAUAGAUAAAUAAAUCUUGUAAAUUUUUGUGCAGAACCUUCGUGUGUAUAAAUGUUAUCUAUUAAUCAUCAAAAAUUAUAUAUGGUGCAUGAACGUACGGAUACACCUGGUGCAGGCAACAGAUACUAAUCUCUCCUGGGGAUGGGACCCACGACCACCGGGUCCAAGCUGGUACACGGCUCGGUGGGACGCACGAUGGGCGCCUCUCAACGCCUCGUGUGUGCAUAAACAAGUGAACAUUUCCAUUAAUCUAGAUAAUAAUAAAAAUAGGCUAGAAAUUGUACUCGUAGUCCUCAAACUAUAGAUUACAUCACAAUUUAUUUUUCAAAUUUAAUUUAUUAUAAUUUUAAAUAAUAUUAUAAUUAAAUUUAUAAUUUAAUAUAGUUGAUGAGUUACUGAUGUGUGGCUAUUGUGAUAGUUAUACGCCAUCUAAAUUAUUAUUAUGCCAUUAAUUAUACCCUUGAUGUAGUACCGCAAUGUAAGAAUAUAUCAGUAUUUAGUCGAUUAAAUUAAACUGUAGAACUUAAUUACAACUAUCUAAAAAGUUCUGAGCCAGAGAACCAAAAUAUCAUGUGCUCAUAGUUUGUGGAUCAUAAGUGUUAUUUAGCUAUAAAAAUAUAAAAAGAAAAUAUUAAUUAAAUUUGAUGUAACGAUCCGACCAGCCAAUAAUAAUAACUCGUCGGGUCUAAACAACCGGUCCUAAAUACUUACUAGUGUGUAGGGCUCAUAUAAACUGAUUGGAACCAGUAUCUCAUCUUAUGAUGUGCGACUAUUGGGGCGUUACAAGCUCCCCCUAUAGGCCUCAUAUAAAUUGAUCGGAAUCAGUAUCUCAUUCGAUAUGGGACUAUUGGUGCGUUACAAUUGACUACUAUAUAUAAAUAUAUAUAUAUAUAUGAUCACUUUAUAAAUAAUCUACUCUUUUACACCAAAUCUGUGAUGUAGACUUCGCUAAAUCUAAAAUUUAUUUGGUAUUUAAUUGAAAAAGUUAUGGACCAUGCGCCAUAAUUGUCUACAUAUAUACCUCUUCAAAAUUAUUUUUCCCAAGAAAAAGAAAAAAAAAUCUUUUAUGUACCUAGGACCUCCAUAAGAGUGGUUGUAUCAGUUUGGUGAGUUUUGGUCAAAUCUGUUUAUUCAAUUCUAGCUAUUAGUACAAUUCUUAUUCCUGAUUUCUGAUGCAUACAGAUUGGAAUAAUGUUUGAGUUACAUGUGCAUCAUAGUUUAGAAUAUUUAAUUACAAUCACAGAACAAAAUUUGCCAAUUAUCUAAUAAUGUAAUUCAGGUAAUUACGCUUUGACCGUGAUAUAAUUAUUUGAAAAUUUCUCGUCAAAUUCGGAAAGGAUUGUCCAGAAAAUGAUUAAUUUUUUUUGGCGCAACCUGGAACAACUGGGAACAUGUAUAAUCCUUUGAUCGUAAAAUUGAUCUCUAUUUAUAGAAGAAAAAGAAUGAAAAAAAAAGAAAAAAAAGAAAUGGUCACCGAUAUCUGAUCACAGGUACUACAAGUCACCGACGAGAAUUAAUGUAGCCAAUAACAUGAUAAAUUAACAAGAUGCAAGCAAUUACGCACAUAUGCAUAUCGCCUCGCUCUUAAUUCAAUUUAUAUUUUAAAAAUGAGAACUUUUGAUUUAAGAGAAUUUCUAGAUUAAUUUCAGUUCUAGGUAUCCUAUUCAAAAUGUGUACCAUUCCUUAUAAGAAGGCAUGAUCUUAUACAGACUCUUGUUUUGCAAAAGCUUGACUUUUUUUUUUUUUUUUAUCAAUAACGAAUUUAAUAAAGAUGCAUUGUGAAAUUGUGGAUCUGUUCAUAGAUGUCGAACAUAGAAAUACAGUUCACCAUUUUUUUAACAAACUUAACUUAUUUGCCCCUCCCACCAACAAAAAAAGAUUAACAAUAAUAAUGACAAUAAUCUAUUCUCAAAAAAAAAAUAAUAAUGACAAUAAUCAUACAACAACAACAUCGUACAUGUUUAAUUAACUACAAAUCACCCCUUGCAAUAAGGGUGUUGAUGCUAGAGUCCAGAGAUAAACCAUAUUAUGGGUAGAAAAUNCAGGUGUUUGUUUUAAUUUUAUUUAAUUUUUUGGAUUAUAUAUAUAUAUAUAUAUAUAUAUAUAUAUAUAUAUAUAUACAUCUAACUGUGAAAUGUCAUGAUACGUCGCGACAAUUAUCGAGUAAAUAUUCUUUGAGCACCUAAUGUUAAGCUAUAAACAUACAACAAUGCGAUUAACUUCACUGUCGAAUAUGAACAUAACCCACAAAUAUGAGUUGCCACCCCUAACUUCUUGUAACAUAUAUAUAUAUAUGAAGUGGCAAAUGACAAUGCGCAAGGAUAUAAACUUUUGAUUUAAAAUAUACACCCCAAAUCAUUACUAAGUAAGAAUAUUAAACUCCCAGUAACCAAAGAAUCUGCAGAAAAUCUCAGAAAAUGGAUUCUGUAAAACGCUGAAAAAUUAACAUAUAAAUUAAGGGUGAGUGAAAGAGGAAGUUCUCCAAUAUAUUUAUAUGCUGCCACUUUGCGCCAACCAUAAAAAGAAGAUUAUAUCUAAUUAAGAUCUUGUACAUAUAGUUGGAAUAUAUGCAGUAUAUUAUAUAUCAAGAAUAAAGAAUAAAAGAAAUGUCGAAAACCUGCAACAGUGCAACACUACAAUAUUAACUAGGCAAUAUUGCUUUCAUUCACGUAAAUUAGAAAUCCGAAAAUAUUACUAAUUUUUUCGCCAAUGUAAAGAUGUGCACAUACAAGAUAUAUUAGUAACUGUACUACUAAUAAUAAACAGCUAAAAUCCACAUAAUAAGCUAUAAGAAACUUCUGAAGAUUUUCUAUCCAAUAAAAAGAUAAAACCAAAGCCUACUUUUAGACCAUUAAAACAUCAUUUAAGGAAGAACAUAUUGGAAAAGAGGAACUACUGCUCUUUAGCCAUUGAAACUAUUAUCGUUAAACGGAUGAUGCGCAGAGAGCAGAAAUAGCUUACAUUAUUUUACCUGUGAGAGUUAUCACCUGCUUAUUUUUCUUUUUUCUUUUCCGCGAAAAUAUCACUUGCUUUAUCAUUGUAUAGGAAGCAAGGUGUGAGGAAUGAAGCCUGGUCCGAGAUCCAUUCCUAGAUUUCGUACAAAACCUAUAUAUAUAUUGAGAAUCCCUAUUUCAUAUAUAUAUAUAUAUAUAUAUAUAUAUAUAUAUAUAUAUAUAUAUUUCAUAUUAAAGACUAUCAUAACAGGAUCUUGGAUCAAACCUCAUUCCAAACACACACUCUCUCUCUCUCUCUCUCUCUCUCUCUCUCUUGUGCACCAGGUGUAAGUCAUUGAUCAUCUAGUGAAUNCAAUGAUUUUUCAAUCAACACCACCAAAGCCCUAGGGCCACAAGCCUCGAGAGUAAACAAAGGAUGUGUUGUUGGUAGUUAAGAAGAGUGAGAGCAUCAUGGAUAUUAUAAUAAGGCUAAAGUACACGUUGGACACAGGUCACUUGGGGGGCAUAAACAGUGGAAAAGAAAUGGGUCUUAUGAAAAAUAUUAUGUUCUCUUCUACAUGGACUUGAUUCUUUAUGGGAGUGAGAGUGCUAAGCUUUUACAGGCUAUGUAUGUCUCCUAGGAAAGAGCACCCAAAACUACUCAAAGAAGUACUAAUAACAUGGGAAAUGGUGAGGGCAUGGGAAGAAGCUGGGAAUGAAAGGAGAGGAGCCCUUCAUUGGCGGAUUUUUAAUAUAGAAAAAAGAUACUUGGUGAACAAGCUAUUUGUGGAAUAUGAGAAAAAGCAAAGGGAAUCUAAGCAUGAUCUCCGCAAGGUAAAGACAAGUAACAUGUUAUGCAUAAAAGACCAUGAAUAUAUAUAUAUACAUAUAUAGAGCACAGCAUGCAUGCAUGCAUCAUAUAUCAAACUCAUCCUCACUAUAGUAAGAAGUACAUUAAAAAAAAAAAAGGGACCGACUGUACCUAGAGUAAGUGGCAAAGAGCUUGGUGGUUGGUAUCCGAGACAGUUCGAAUCCUAGUUAAUUCACAUUUCUAGCUAAGUUUAUUUCUAAAUGAAAUAAACGAAGCGGGUAGCAUGCUACCUGUCUCUCAAAAAAAAAAAAAAAAAAGGGGAUGGUCAGGUGAUAGUGGUUGUGUCAUGUGUGGUGCUGACCUGGAGACUGUUGAUCAUUUGUUGGUGGGCUGUGUCGCCAGCAAAUUUCUUUUUAUUACGCUCCUCGACGAGCUUCAUAUCUUCGCUUCUUGCGAUGACAUUAUUGCCGUGUGGGAUAGGCUACUGGGAAGGGGAUUGCAACCCGACUCUUUAAAAGCUCAAAUUUUGGUGGCAGCCUUAUGGUGGACAAUCUGGCGCGAAAGAAAUAACGUCAUUUUCAGAAACCUAUCUACGGAUGUUAUCAAUACAACUCAGCGUAUUGGAAUCUUGGCUAAGGAGUGGAUUGAGUUUUGCUGAGCAGGACGACCUCGGCAAUGUUAUAUUCUUUUUCUUACCACUUGUCUCUUCUUAAUUAGUUUUUAUUUUUAGUUGUCUUUCUGCUCUUGUCUGUUCUUAUUCUUGACUUUUCGCUUUCCCCGAGGCCUUAGCUGCCUCACUCCAUGUAGCUAAAUUCAUUUUCCUAAUGAAUGAAGUAGGUAGCGUGCUAUCUUUCUCUCUCAAAAAAGAAAAAAAAAAAAGAAGAAUUUCUAAUGACACGAAAAGCUAAUGAAAUGAGAUUUUUAAAAAGGGGGUGAUAUUAUUGAUUUAUUGCCAAUUUGGUGUUAACUACAAUAAGCUAUCAAUGGUAAUUAACUACUGAAUACGAAAACUUUCUUUAGUGAUUAUAAUUUAGAAGCUUGCUUUUUAUUCGCUAUUAUGAAGUUCCAAGUUACGAUCGAUAUUUAGAUUAAUAUAUUCUACUUACAAGAAAAAUAUGUUUUAUUAUGAGAGUAAAUAUUCAAAAAGCGUAAACUUAAUUACUAUUCAGUGAGUACUCCAUUUGAUUAAACUCGUUGUGUUUAAUCAAUGAAUGGUGCAAAAUAUGCCUGUGAAAUAUCGUAACUCUUUUCAAAGCUAAAAAGGAAAUUUCAAUCCAAAACUUUUAUUUUUCUUCCAGUACAAAGUUCUCUCUAUAUAUAAUUAUUUCUUUUCCAAACCAAAUUAAUUAGUUCUAAAACUUCGGCAGUGCUACAUCUAAUUCAGGCGUAACUCAAGUGUAAGUGUGUAACCCAUGUAUAUAUUUAUGGAUUUUUGAGUACUAUAAGAUUAUGAAUCUAUAGUACAAAGUCAUUGCACCAAUUGUCUCUUCAUAGGUCCCCUCACUUUUUUUCUUUGUUUUUUUUUAAGAAAAGCCAAUAAACUCGGUGCGAUCACAUGUGAACUUAUUUAAACAUAGCCAAGCAUCUAAGUGUGUGUUUGGAUUGGAUACAAGAAAGGGAAUAAGAGGGUUAUUCCCUCUUUUAUACCCAAACACAAAUUUGGAGGUGGUGAAACAAUUGUUCCACCCCAACCCGGUACAAGCCCUCUUGUAUCGGGUUGGGUUGGAACAAGUUGUUCCACCCCAACCCCUCGGGUAGAGAGAGAGAGAGAGAGAGAGAGAGAUUUUUAAUUUAAAUUUAAAUUUUUGAAAUUUAUAAUUUAGUUUUUUAAAAUAUAAAUUUAUAAUUUUAAAUUAUAAUUUUAAUGUUUAAAUUAUAAAUUUGAUAUUUUUAAUUUUUAAAUUUUAAAUUUAAUUUUUUUAGAUUAAAAAUUUAAAAUUUGAUAUUUUAUAUCUUUCAAAUUUAAAUUUGAUUUUAAAUUUAAAAUUUGAUAUUUAAAAUUUAAAUUUUAAAAAUUAAAAAUUUUGAUUUUAAUUUUAAAUUUUAAAAUUUAAAAGUUAAAAUUUUUAAUUUAAAAUUAUAAGUUUAAAAUUUUAAAUUCAAUUAUAGAGGUAAAAUCAUUAUUUUUUAUCUAUAACUACCAACUAUUCCACCUUAUACUCACAUUUUCAUACAAACACAAUUUUUCUAGUUCCAGCUUAUACCCACAUUUUCAUCCAAAUAAAAAAAUACCCUUGUUCCUACAAAAAUUCAUUCUUGUAUCUAUCCCCGGUAUAACUAGUUCUUGCUUAUACCCGAACCAAACGAAGCCUAAAAGAUUACGAGCCUUGUUUCGGCCAAUCUAAACCAACACACAACCCAUGGGGACAAAAAUUUUAUAGCUAAAAUGUAAAGACACCCACUAAACUUUAGUCUUUUUUGAUAUUGACCCCCUCAACUUACAAACUAUUUGAAUUAGGCCCUUCCACUACAACAAAAUUAGGUUAUAGGGACACAUGCUUGGGACACUUUUAUGUAAGUGUUCCAUUUAUACCAAAACUUUAAAAAAAUAUCUAUUAAUGCUUAAAUAUAAAGCCCAAUAUAACCAAAAUAAAAGGUUACUCUACUCAACCCACCCCACUCAGCCCAUUCGGCCCGAUUACAAACAGAAAAGAAAAGAAAAAAAUCGAUUACCAUGUCCCCUUCUCCCCUAACUCAAUCCACUGAAAUUCUAGACGAAGAAUCAUUCCCUCUCAUCCUCCUCUGCCACCGGAGCCAACGAGGUAGAGUUUCAGAGGUUGCUUAAUGCUUAAAUAAGUAUUAGUAAAUUAGCAGCAUUCUUUUUAGGUUAUAACGAUAUUCUUUAACUGUCACUAUAUACCUAGCGACCCCACAUAUAGCAACACUCUUUAAAAGUGUCGGUAAUUUAGCCAGCAGCACUUUUUUUGACAUGUACCGACAUUUAAAAGUGUCGCUAUAGACCGUUUUUGUUGUAGUGUUCUAUUGGUAAUUUUGAUUUUUUUUUUUUUUUAAUCAACUACUCAUAAGAGAUGUACAUGAUCAAAAAUUGCUUUGAUAAAAAAAUAAAGAAAGCUUGACCUACCAAAAAAAGAAAAAUGCAGCAUUCUUAAACUACAAGAUGGUAAACUGUAAAUAUGUUUAGUAAUAUAGGUCUAAGCAUAUUGUUUUAUGUAUUAUUAAUAUCCUGACAUUCAAAAUGCAAAAGUUUUUCUAUCAGUUUGUACAUGCAAUUUAAUUAUAGUAUAUAUAGUUACUAACAUUUUAAUAAUUUGUAUAGAAAUUAUAUAUUAGAAGAUCUAAAGUGUAUUUAUUCUGCAGACCCCAUGAAUCAAAUAAUUGAGAAAAGCAACAUUUGGGCUUUUGGAAAGAGAUUCUACUAUAUAUCAGUCACACCGCAUCAUCUAUUAACAGUCAACAAUAUCUCUCCUUUUGAGUUAAAAAUAUAAUAAAAAUAUUUUUCUAAUAAUUAUGAUGGGACGGGUGAACCAAAAAAAAUAAUCUAGUUAUUGGUGACAUUACACCAGUAAUAUAACUGAUGCAUUUUAGAUUUUUUCGCUUUUGGAGCCCCACCUACCUUCUAUCCCUCUGUCUGUGUUGAGUACUCCUAAGGCCAGUGUACCUCAACAAUAUGGCCCGUGAGUGUCCCGUUUGGUAAUAUGAUCGAAAAAAAUAAGAAGUCCGGAUGAAAGGAUGUUGUUUAUGAAAAAAAAAAAAAAAACUAAAAUUUUAUUAAUUCACAAAUAAUAAAGUUUUGAUGGUUGGAAACUACAAGCCUUUUGGUUUAGAUUUUUCUCUGGGACUUGACUUUUUUGAAGCACGCUACGUUCAAUCGCUUGAAACAGAUCGAACUUGGAUUAUCCGAACUCGUUCAUCUCUUAGCUAACAAUUGAAGCGCCAUGAAAACUCGAAAUCUUAGUUUGAUCUUACAAAUGAUAGAAACCUCUAGAAAAGGAAUUCUCUGAACUGCUACCACCAAAGCUAAUUACUGGUAACUAAAAACUGCUAAAACUACUACUACUUGAAAUUGCCAAAACUACUCUGCAUUCAACCUGAGUACAAAAGCUACUACGUACUACUACUCCUUGCUUGAGAGAAUUGGUGUACAUGCUAUUGUUUGUGUUAAAAAAUGGACUCCUUGUAUUUUUCAGUGAGAUCACAGAAAUCGUAUCUAACAGCAUCAGCGCUAUUCAAGCAACAUGUAAUUUUUACAUAAACAAAUAGAAUAUUUUUUCUCACACUUUUCUACCACAACCUAAGGUAUACUUUAUUGACCGUCCGUAGCGCAAGUGGUAAAUGACUUGAUGGUUGAUAUUUGAGAUUUCAAAUUUGAAACCUAAGAGCUUUAUAUUUUCAAGUAGGGUCAUUACCUAAAAAAAUGAACGAAGUGGAUAGUAUAUUACUAUUUCCUUUUAAAAAAUAUAAGGUGUACUUUCCAUGCAUGUCCUAGACUUAAAUAAUUUGUUUGGUGUGGUUUGACUUGAUUUGUAAAUGAUGAACUAAGUAAACCAAAAAAUUAAGUUAGCUGGCUUGUACAAUAUUACUGCAAUACAUAACCAAGAUAUUAGCCAAAUUGAAUCAAAUUAUUUUUUAUUCGAAUCUGUAAUUCUUUCUUUUUUUAAAAAAAAAAACAACUAAAACUUAGUCCUAGUCUAAGUUAGAUACAGGUAUGGUGAGAUCAUAUUUAAGUUGGGGAAAGAAGUAAAUAAUUAAGCCCACAAAGAGUUUAACAACAAGUAUACAUCAAUCAUGAAGAAAGGAAUUUAAACAAAAACUCAAGAGUGCAAACCAUGCAAAGAACCUUUCCCUUUCCUUGCACUUCUUAGGAGGAGAUCCAAAGAGUAAAACCCCUCACUCUCAUAAUCCAACAAAAGAAUAUAAUUAUUCUCUCCUUAUUGAUAUCAAUUCAUGCAUGACUAUAUAUAUCUCCAAACAAUCCCUCUCAACACUCAUCCAUUUCCAUUAAUUAUCAUUCCCCGACUUAAUUAAAC
rnacentral:lncRNA from 1 species